UUUAGUUGAACUAGUUGGACAAUUAAAAACCCAUCCAUGAUUUUUACACAAGAUCUUAAUUUCAUGAGAGCGUUAGGUAAUGUCUGGCGUGAGACACUCAAUUAGAGUGAAUGAUGAGGACACCACAACCAUCAACAAGUCUUCAACAAUAAUAGGUCCGAUCACAAGAAGUCACACUAAACUGAUACGUGGUGAAUGCUAACUUAAGUUUACCUUAUAAUCUUGAUGAAAACUAUAUUUUCAUCCUCAUUGUUGUUGGUUGAACUUAGGUAUCACAAGAAAUCCAAUAUCCUAUGAGUUUUUCAAGCAACCGGUUUGGAGAAAAUAAGUUUCAAGUGAAGUUGAAUGCUAACUUAAGUUCAUCCCCCCUCCCAAAAAAAAAAAGAAUGUUACUUCCUCCGUCACGGUUUAAAAGGCACAGUUAAACUUACGUGCGUUUUCAAAAUAGACAAGGUUUAAGGCGCGCGAAAGCAAUUACUCCUAUUAAUUAGUACUAGUACUACUCAUGCAUGCGCCCUCCUAAUUUGCUGCUCACGCAUUAGUACUAGUAUUUUCUCAGUUGAUUAGGCGCAUUAGCAUCUACAUCAACUACAUCUCACAACCAAUCUGUGACUACCUUGGUCCCAAGAUUUUCCAAACGUGCCUUCUAAACCGUAACGGAGGGAGUAACUUAAAUUUACCUUGAAAUCUUAUGACACAACUAUACUUUCAGCCCCAUUGUUGUUGGUUGAACUUAGGCAUCACAUGAAAGAAAUCCAACAUCCUAUGAGCUCUUGAAGCAACCGAUUUGAAGAAACAAGUUUGAAGAAAACAAGUUUCAAGUCAACCUGAUGCAGUCAGUUUUUACUUGUGAUGUUUCGUUGUUCCACACCCCUUUUAGAGGAGAGACGGGAUCAUAAGGGUACAUCACGAGAAGCUACAUCAAAUUUACUUUCAAAUGUAAAAAAACCUCACAUAAUUUGUAGUUGUGAGUUAAAAGUUUUAGUCCUUCUCGUGGAAGGUGUCCACACUGUCAAGGUUCCGUGAAUUUUUGAGGAGCUCUCCAACAACUCCUAAAGUUGAUUGCUUAUUCUCCCAAGGAAACCAUGCAAAGCUAAUUACUUUCGAAACCUUUCCACACCUACCUGUGUGUGUGUGUGUGUGGGGGGGGGGGUUGUCCAUGCUGUAAAACUCCACCCCCAUCCUUUUGGAAACCUUUUGUCAAACCAUUUAGGUACAAGCUUAUGCAGCAAGUUUGAUAGAGAUCCAAGAGAUCCUUACUACCUUUGUCUUGUGAGUUCAUCCGGAUUCGUGAGAAGGAACCUCUGGUUCCCCCUAAUUCGUGCUCUACGGUUCCGGCCAUUUUGUGUGGGUUAGUACCGGUUUGUGGUUCUAUGAUUGUUUGGAGAACUGGGUUGGAGUUAUUGUAGCUCCAUGUAACAACCCGAGUGUCAUGCUACACUAACUUCACACUAAUGGUGCCAUGUCAUCAAGUUUAACUAAGCAAAGUUUUCACUUGAUGAAAAUCAAAGCCAAAUUCAAAUUUGAAAUAAAGUCAAAUGAUUAUUUCUUCAAACUAGUAAAUCCAAAAUGUUAGCCAUGUUGCAAAUAAUCCCCGAGUAUCUGUCACGGUGAAACCAAACCCAUUUGGACUAUAAAAUUGACUGCAACAAUAUUUAAAGUGGUUAAGGAGUAUCUAAGUUGCCCAUUUAAAUUCGAACGUAAAUUUAAAUAAUUACAAAUGCCCUCAAACUUCUGUGCAACCCUAGAAUAUUAGCUAGUAUUUCUGUGGCAAGUUUCAAAUUAAAUAAAUCACUUGCUAACUAAACUAAUUGCCAAGUAAAAUAAAUAAAAAUAAAAAAACAUUAAAGAAAAUAGAAAGAAACCUGAGGCCACUUGGAGCGUGCUACUACAUGAGCCCACCACCACUCCCUUCUUCAACCUGUGUUCACAAAGGCCUCCGUGGACGAAGGGCACACGUCCAUGGCACCGAUGGCCACGCGACGGCAAUCCGGCGUCUCCUCGCGUAGAUAAGCACGCACCCGACCCCGAGGACAAACCCUAGACUCAACUUCCCUCUCUCUCGCUCGUGUCCAUCUAUCCGAAAGACGAGCUCAUGGUCGCCAUGGCCCCGACGAAGCCGUGGCCACCCGUCUCCCCGCGCCGUGAGAAUCUGUCCAAGAGAGCUACAGCCCUCGACCUCGUUUUCCCCUUCGCCAAAUCGAGCGGAGAUGCCGCGUACGCCUCGUCAUCGCCGAUCUUCUCCGCCACGACCGCCAUUAUUUGUCAGCGUCUGCUGCUGCUUCGGGCCACCCCCGGCCUCCCCGACCUCGCCAUCGAGCUCCCAGUGAGUUUCUCCCCUGAAUCCCCCCUUUUCCCGUCAAAUCCGUCGACGUAGACGCCGUACGCCGCCGCGGUUGAGCUCAGCCGGAGCUCCGCUCGCCGCGCGACCGCACCCGUACCCGCCUGCUACCUUGGCCGUGCGCGCUCGCAGCUGGUCGCGCCCCUCGCGUGCCCCGUGUCAGGCACGAGAGCCUCCCCUGUUCCUGCAUGUCGGAAGAGCCUAGGAUGGUGGAUGGAGCAUCUAACGGCUGUAAGAGAAAGAUACCGGUUCAGUGGAGUGGAAGACGUCAUGCGUUGAUCCUGCAUCCGACGGCCCAGCGCAACUCCCGCGUCGCUGUUGGGGAUCCGGCAAGGGCGCACUACACUGAUUAAUUCACUUUAGUUACUUUUCGUUUGCUAGCUUAUAAAGGCCACUCGUUUCAGCUCUUAGAGGCAUGUAAUUGAUGUAUGGGUACAAACCCUAAGCCGCGUGUGGCGUGCUCUACCAACUUUCCCCAUUUUGAGAGUAAUAGAAUUCCUUUGUGAGCUAAUCUCGAUCCGUGAAUUCGGCCCAAAAGCGUAUUUCUUCUUCUGUUAGUAGCUAGAUCCUGACAAUUGGUAUCAGAGCCAGUCGAUUUUCGGCUGGAAGGACGAGUAGAAGAGAAGCGAGCUGAAGCAUCUUCGACGAGGUCCAAAUCAACGGAGGUGUUGGCGGCGCUAGAUCAAGAUCAAGGUACUCGAAUCAAAUCCCACCACCCACCCCUGUUUCUAGCAGUACCAUGACAAGGCAAGUAGACUCGGUUGUUACAGAAAAUCUGCAGCUGGUGUUGUUGGAAUUAGAUAUUAAGACCCUACAAGACAACAGAGAGGAGGAUCAGAAAGAGUUUCAUGAAUUCCAAGCAAUGGUAAACAAGAAUUUUGUCAUGAUGCAAAGCAAUUUUGACAAGAUCCAGGAGAACUUCAGGAAACUGUUGUUUGACCAUGGUUUCGAGGAGGGGCGAAUUGAGCACUCUGAGCAAGGGAGUGCCCAGAAAAAAGUUGACGAGGUGCACUCACGCGUGGUUCCUGCAAGUAGGUCGAAGCAGUUGAACAAUUUCACACCACCAUCAGUUCAUGGCCAGGAGAAGGAAGCAUCAGUGGUAGUAGGCUCAGCAGUGUUGAGGGAUCACACAGGAAAGGAGCUCAAUUUGGGUGGUUCUAACAAGGCCCCAUACGGGCAUCCUAAUUUCACCAACAACAAGCAUGAUGGCAAUCAAGCAACUGGACAACAGCAGCAACUGCAGUUACAACAAGUGGAUAUUGGAGCAAUAGAAGAGUGUCCAGAUGGGCAGAAGCACAUGCAAUAUUCUUCUUCAGACAGUAGAAGGCCUGUUCUCACAUUGAAGCCUGAAAGCUGAAUAUUUCUGAGUUUGAAGGAUAGGAUCCUGAAGCAUGGAUUCAGAAUUUAGAUCAGUACUUUGCUGCUGCUAGAACACCAACUGAGCAUAGAACAGAGUUCGUAGUGUCUUACUUGAAAGGGCCUGUUGUUCAAUGGUGGAGAGGAACUAGAUAUGCACCUAGCAAUGUAUCGUGGCACAAAUUCCGUUCUUAUCUAUCUGAGAGAUUUGCUGUUGACUCAUCCUGUGACAUAGUAAGUUCAUUCCAUGCAAUGCAUCAAACUUCCACCUUGUCAGCAUAUGUAGAACAGUUUGAACACUUAAUGAAUAUUAUGAGAAGAUAAAACCCUAAAAUUCUAGAUAGUUACUAUGUGACUAGCUUUGUGUCCAGCCUUAAUACUUAUAUCAAGAGCCAUGUGGAGUGUUUUAAACCUAAGGAUAUGCAAACUGCUAUCUGGUAUGCUAGAAGAAUGGAAAAGGCUCAACCACCAGUGCAGGUGGUGCAAACUAAGGCUUAUGUUCCCCAACCAAAAAGGCAAGUGACCUUUGAGCAACCAAAGGUGGAAGGUGGUCCUAUAGUACAAAAUAGAAAUUUGGUGAUACAGCAAGCAAAACAGAACCAAGUCUAUUACAAGUGUAGAGAACCUUGGGUUCCAGGGCAUAGGCAAGUAUGCAAGAUGAGUCAAAGAGCACAUGUUCAAGCCCUGCAAGCACAUGAGGAGGAAGUGCCUGAGACCAUUUAUGUUACUGAUUUUGCUGAUCCAGAGUUGGAAAACAUGGACCAACUUCCAGCUGAUGCAAUUCUGCAGGUGUCUAUGCAUGCAGCUAUGGGAAUUGGAGCAGUAAAGAAUACUUUUGUCCUAACAGUUAAGGUGGACAACACCUCUACUACAACAUUAAUGGAUAGUGGUAGCACAUCUACAUUUGUGUCUCCAGAAAUGGCAACCAAACUACUAGUAAAACCCAAGCCAGCUCCUAGAGUUAAAGUAGCUGUAGCAAGUGGAGAAAUGCUAUGGAGUGAAUGCAUGGUGCAGGAUUGUCUGUAUGAGAUACAAGGUCAGCAGUUUACUGAUAGUUUGAGAGUUCUGCAACUGAAGGGUUAUGAUAUGAUAUUGGGAGUGGACUGGUUAAAAAAGUACAUCCGAGUACACAUGGAUUUCAUUAAAGUGGAGAUGAAGGUUUCUGCAUUGGAUGGCCAGUUAGUCACAUUUUUUGAUGAAACAUUUCCCAAGGCACAACCUGAAGAGGCUAAAUAUUGCACUGAUAAACUGAUGGAGCAAGCAGUGUGUGAAUUUUUACCGUUUACUGCUUGUGCUGUGGAAGUGAAUAACACAGCUAAGGAGCUACCUCCAGAAUUACAAACACUGCUGCAAAAGUAUGAGCAGCUCUUUCAUAACCUACUGAGUUACCUCCAAGCAGAUCAUGUGAUCACAUAAUUCCUUUGGUAGAGGGAGCAAAAGUAGUGAAUCAAAGGCCUUACAGAAUGCCACAUCAUCAUAAGGAAAUAUUGGAGAAGAUCAUUAAAGAAUUGUUAAAAUCUGGAGUGAUCAGGCCCAGCACCAGCCCCUUUUCCUCUCGUGUAUUAUUAGUAAAAAAUAAAGAUGGAUCCUGGAGGUUGUGCACUGAUUACAGGAAGUUGAAUUCUAUUACAAUCAAAAACAAAUACCCAAUUCCAAUCAUUGAAGAUUUGUUGGAUCAGUUGAAAGGAGCUAAAUUUUCUCCAAAAUUGAUCUCAGAAAUGGUUACCACCAGAUCAGAAUGGCAGAAGAGGAUAUCCACAAGACAUCUUUUGUUACUCAUAUGGGCUUGUUUGAGUACCUGGUUAUGUCCUUUGGUGUGACAAAUGGCCCCUAGUUUCCAAGCUUUAAUGAAUUUUCUCUUUGGCAUGCUCAAAUUUGUGGUAACAUUAUUUGAUGAUAUCCUAGUGUUCAACACUUCAUUGGAAGAACAUAAGGACCAUCUGACUCAGGUGUUUGAUAUACUGCAAAAAAACAAGUUAUAUGCAAGAUUGGAAAAGUGUUCUUUUGGUUACACUGAAGUGGAGUAUUUGGGCCACAUUAUUAACCAAGAAGGAGUAGCUACUGAUCCAUCUAAAAUUAAGGCAAUCCAGGAUUGGCCAGCUCCUACAAACAUUACUGAAUUGAGGAGUUUCUUGGGUUUGAGUGGUUACUACAGAAGAUUCAUUCAGGGUUAUGGUUUAAUUUGCAGACCACUGUUUGACUGUUUAAAGAAAGAUGCUUUUCACCGGGGCAAUGAACAGGACAGGGCAUUUGAUGAAAUAAAAGACAAGCUUACUCACUCUCUAGUGUUGAUAUUACCUGAUUUCUCCAAACCAUUUAUUUUAGAGGCUGAUGCUUGUGGAUAUGGUUUGGGAGCUAUGUUAAUGCAGGAAGGAAGACCUAUCUCUUAUCCGAGUAAAACAAUUGGGCCUAGAGCUGCUGCUAUGUCCACCUAUGAUAAAGAAGCUAUGACAACUAUUGAGGCUGUUAAGAAAUGGAAACAUUAUUUCCUUGCAACUGCUCUAAUUAUCAGAACAGAUCAAGAGAGCCUGAAAUACAUACAGGAGCAGAAACUCACCGAGGGAAUUCAACAGAAGUUGUUACUUAAAUUGUUGGGAUACAAUUUCACCAUUGAGUACAAGAAGGGCAAAGAGAACAAAGCUGCACAUGCACUAUCCAGGGUGAAACAUUUAGCUUCCAUGCUUGUUGCUAGCAGCACUACUCCCACCUGGGUAGUAGAAGUGGUGAAAAGCUAUAGUCAAGAUGAGAGGAUUAAAGAGUUAAUUACUCAUUGCUCUAUGGACAAGGAUAACACUAGUUCCUAUUCCUACAGAAAUGGUAUCCUCAGGUUCAAGAACAAGGUGGUAGUGGGGAAUGCAACAACUCUUAGACAGGACAUGUUGAAAACUUUCCAUAGCUCUGAGUUAGGAGGCCACUCUGGAGAAAGAGCUACUUAUCAAAGGGUGAAGUUGGUGUUUCAUUGGUCAGGGUUAAAACAGGAUGUCACUGCAUUUGUUAAGGCCUGCCCAGUUUGCCAGAUUAAUAAAGCUAAGCACUGUCCUUAUCCAGGUAUGUUGGAACCACUUCCUGUGCGUGAUUUUGCUUGGGUCCAUGUUAGUAUGGAUUUUGUGGAGGGUUUGCCUCUUUCUGAAAACAAGGAUUUAAUUCUGGUGGUUGUAGACAGAUUUACAAAAUAUGCUCAUUUCAUAGCCAUGAAGCAUCCUAUCACAGUGGAAUCUAUGGCAAGGGCCUUCUCUGAGACAGUGUUCAAGUUGCAUGGCAUGCCAGUGGUAAUUGUCACCGAUAGAGACAUAAUAUUUACUAGCAACCUGUGGCAGCAACUAUUUAAAUCUAUGAAGAUUAAACUGCACAUGAGUACCAAUUAUCAUGCUCAGUCUGAUGGGCAAACUGAGAGGGUGAAUGAGUGCCUGGAAAAUUACCUGAGAUGUAUGUGCUUCCAACAACCAAAGAAAUGGCAUCGAUGGUUGGCCUUAGCUGAGCGGUGGUACAACACUAGCUUCCAUACUUCCCUACAAAUGACACCUUUUCAAGCUCUUUAUGGGUUUCCACCUCCUAUGGUAGCUGAAUCUGCAUUGCAUGAUACUAUCUCCAUGGAUUCUGACAAUUUACUCCAAAACAGAGAGUUAGCCUUAGAAGUGAUCAAGCAGAACCUGAUCAAAGCCCACGCAAGGAUGAAGUGGUUUGCUGACAAGAAGAGAAAAGAAAGAGAGUUUGUAGUUGGAGAUAUGGUGUGCUUGAAGCUGCAGCCUUACAGACACACAUCUCUUAGUCUCCACACGCACUUGAAGUUGCACUCCAAGUUUUAUGGGCCCUUCAGAGUUCUUCAAAGAGUGGGUCUUCAUGCUUACAAGUUACUCCCGCCUGAGGGUUGCAAGUUGCAUCAUACCUUUCAUGUGAGUCAGUUGAAGAAGCACAUUGGGCCAUCAGUGGUGCCUUCCAAGGAUCUUCCCUUGGUUGGUCCAGAUGGUGUGAUCAAGAUGGAGCCUGAAACUAUAUUGGAGAGGAAAUUGGUUCCAAGAUUUCAGGGGGACAUCAGUAUUCCGGUUGUGAGAUGGUUAAUCAAGUGGGUGAACAUGCCAGUGGAGGAAGCCACAUGGGAGGAUUCAGCUUUUAUCCAAAAAAUAUUUCCUUCUUUUGCAGCUUGAGGACAAGCUGCAGCUUAACAGGGGGGAAUUGUCAGGCAUGAGAGCCUCCCCAGUUCAUGCGUGUUGGAAGAGCUUAGGAUGGUGGAUGGAGCAUCUAACGGCUGUAAGAGAAAGAUACCGGUUCGGUGGAGUGGAAGACGUUAUGCAUUGAUCCUGCAUCCGAUGGCCCAACGCAGCUUCCGCGUCGCUGUUGGGGAUCCGGCAAGGGUGCACUACACUGAUUAAUUCACUUUAGUUACUUUUCGUUUGCUGGCUUAUAAAUGCCACUCGUUCCAGCCCUUAGAGGCAUGCAAUUGAUGUAUGGGUACAAACCCUAAGCCGCCUAUGGCGUGCUCUACCAACUUUCCCCAUUUUGAGAGUAACAUAAUUCCUCUUUGAGCUAAUCUCGAUCUCUGAAUUCGGCCCAAAACCGUAUUUCUUCUUCUGUCAGUAGCUAGAGCCUGACACCCCGUCGCCGCCCGAACAGGCCCUCUGCUGCCUGCACCGCUCGCCCCACUCUGCUGGUGCACCGUGCUCCGCCCCGCCGCGUCUAGUUGGGUGCGGUUGCUGCGCUGCUCGCUACCGCCCGCUGCUGUCGUCGACCGACCGCGCCGUGGCCAUGGCUUGGUCGUGUUGCGUGUGUGUGGGCAUGCACACCCUAGCUAGUUCACCGGUCAGAUGUGUAGCUUUUAUAUUAGAUGUUAAUUAACCCACUGCUAACAGAGUCAUUGACAGUCUGGUCCUGUACCCUAAUUAAACUAAAUUAGUUUAGUUUAAAUACUGUGAAACUCAUAAAGACUGACCAUUGGGUCCCAUUGGACCCAAUUGACGAGUCAACUGGCUGACUAGUAAAGCCUAGUCAGUGCAAGGUGGGUCUAGUGGACCCGCUUGAUUAGUCAAUGUGGACUAGUCAACUGCUGACUAGGUAGUUGACUGGCCUCACAUGUCAGUCUCAGCAGCACAUCUAUGCGUACACUUGUGUGUACCCACACGAGAUAACAUUAUUUUAUUUGAUUCAUUAAUAAAUCCAAAAAUUCAUAAAAGCAUUAAAACUUUGAAAAUGAUAUACAAUAAAUCAUAGCUCAGAUAGAAAUAAUUUAUAUAUGAAAAUUGCUCAAAAUAUGUAAGUAAUCCGAAUAUACUAUUAACACAGCUGCCACACCCCUCUAACACACUGAACAUGGACAUUUUGCAUCCGGAUCAUAUGUGUAGAAAAUACCUCGAGAUGGGAAAAUAUUACGAGCUAUUUUCCCUCUUCUUUUAAAAUACUUAGGGAUGCAUUAAAGCAUGACAACCACACAUCUUGCCGUGCUAUUUCAUUAGUGUUGCACUUGAUUGCUCUGUUAUUUAUUUGUUUCCCCUUCGUUACUUCCUUUCUGGUAGACCCCGAGACCGAUAUUGAUCUGGUGAUCGACUGCUUCACCGUCGAGGAUCCGUAUCUGUCUGCACAACAACCAGGCAAGCAACCCCCUUGAUCAUUCUGAUAUCGCCCAAUUAUUUCUACCUCAUGCUUGCAUUAGAAUUGGCUACUGUAUUUAAUUGCUCCUAUUCUGAUGCAUAACCUUCUUUUGUAACCUGCUAUUGAUACCUGCGUGCUUAUCCUAUAUGCUUAGUAUAUGUUGGUUAGUGAGCCACGAGUGACCCCUUUCCUUGUCCUUGUUACCCCGCUACAUUAUCGGAAGAUUCAAUCCAGGGGAUCGACGAGCCAAGACAGUCACAUCACCGCACCCCCUCCUUAGUUGUACGACGCUACAACGCUACUAUCGACUGUCGAGGAUUAUGGAAGAUCGGCACAUCAUUGCACACCCCAUGGAUGGACGAUGCUUCAUGACUACUAUCGACUGUCGUGGGUGACACCUUCUAGUUUGCUCUGACGGUUACAUCAAAUGGAAAUCCAUCGAGGGUGAUUUUUCAGAAUUCGCCCUUGAUGACAAGGACACACUGUUACGUUUACUUGUUGCCCCUAUUACUUGUAUUGUGGGACUGAAGGGACAUGCGGUACCACCCUAGUUGUGGUGGACCUGAGUUCACGACAAUGUCUUGUGGAGUUGGGUUGACUUGGAGGGUACCCGCGAGAUAAUUACACGGCACGGCCGGGCAAUCUUUGCCCUUGCCAUAAGUCCACGAGAGGGGGCGGCAAGAUCGGGAGGAUCGCUGAUCGUUUGCACGAGCUACCAAGACACUAAUGGGUUUGGAUAUGUGAUCUGAGUAGGCCUCUGGCCUUUAUCGCACUAACCACCAUGCGGGAAUAAGUAUGGUCACUCUUCGUCGUACAUUCUCCCGAAAGCUCUUCAGACGUCACAGCUGAGCGGCACAUGCCCAGGUGGCCCAUGUAAGCACCCUCUUUGUACAAAGAGGCACCAAGACUGACAUCAGCCAUCCUCAUAACGCGUAGGAGUGCAAAGGGCGAUGGGCCCAAAACAUGUGAGCACCUAGGCGUAGGCCGACGUGUUGGCCUAUCCGUUGAGCCUAGGUAGGACUACGACCUGUCGAUCAGCCGAAGCCGGAUAUGACCCCAAAAAGUGUGUUCGGCCAGAGUUAAUCGAGCGUGUUGGGUAAUAUGGUGCACCCGUGCAGGGAAGUAUAUAUCUGUGUCCACGAUAACGGACGCUCACAAAGGAUCCUGAUCUACUACAACCAGUACUGUAUACUUGUGAUAUUAAAUUAAAAUUUUGGCUCCGGGAUCGUUUCCUCGCAGGGAGUCGAGGAAGGAUAUCUGGGCCUUGCUAUUGCAUGCUUUUAUAUGAUUUACUAAUCUAAACUUUUCUAAUGUUGCAAGACACUGAAGAUGCUAGUCUUCGAUAGGACUAGGUCUUUCCUCUUUCUUCUGGCAUUUCUGCAGUUAAGUACAAAGAUAUAGCCCCAUUCCUUUUAUACUAAUGCAUAUUUAAUUUAGAUAUGAUGUAAGUCUUACGAGUACUUUGGAUGAGUACUCACCGUUGCUUUGCUCCCCUUUUCGCUUUUGAUACGAUUGUAGCGAUUAGAUGAUGGAGCCAAGGAGCUAGUUGAUUCCGUUGACUACUGCUAAUACCCCGACAGAUCCUACUACUACGUGGAGGCCGCCGAUGACCAGAAUUAGUUAGGAGGCUCCCAGAAAGGAGGCUCCUUUUUUAUCCAUGUUAUUGUUUGUGCUAGCCUUCUUAAAGCAAACUUGUUUGUUUAUGUCUCUACUCACAUAUUGUUGCUUCCGCUGACUCGUUUGUAUUCGAUCUUAUGUAUUCAAGCCCUCGAGGCGCCCCCUAUAUUGUAAUAUAAAUCUCGUAUUACUUUAUUUGUGUCAAGAGUUGUGUUGUGAUAUCUUCUCAUGAGUCCGUGAUCUUGAUCAUACGCAUUUGCGUGUAUGAUUAGUGUAUGACCAAGUUGGGGACGUCACAAGUUGGUAUCAGAGUAGACUGCCUGUAGGAUGCCCCUUUCCAACUCCCUGGCCAAAGUUGAGUCUAGUCUUUGAAAAAAACAAAUUUUACUAACAUUAUUGUGUGGCUUACAAGCCCACAUCUCAAAUGGGUAGUAUAUUUUACUCCUCUUUCUUACUUUGGGUUCUGAUCUCUCUUCUAGUUUGGGUUAAAGAUUUUGCUAAGUCCAAUCUAGGUUCUCGUAACUACUUCCUCUUGGAGAGCCCCUUAUUCUAGAUGAUGGCUUGAUUCAUCAGAAAGGCUCCGAAGAUACUCUCCGAUGUUCUCUCGAGAAUUUGUGAUCAUCGCUUUUGCGAUUUCUUUCCACCGUCAACCCCUAUGGAUAACUACAUACAACUAUCGUUCUAACUCCCAUUCCGAGUUGCUCUUGCUAUUAUAAGAUACCCCAAGUUUUUUUCCUACGUUCUGGGGAUCUAUUGUGCGUGCUGCCUUACAACUCCAUUUUCGCUUGAAUACAUCUAUGCAUAAUUCCCCACACUUACCGGAGAUCCAUUCAUCCUCAGUUGUCAUGUGUUUCACAAAAUCCUUCGAAUUGCUAUUCGAUCUUUCGAAUUCCUCAGUAGCCUAUAGCUCUUGAACUUCCUUACCUGCUUGCAUUAUGGUCCGAAGUAUGUCUAGAGGGUGGUUGAUUAGACUACUUGACUAACUAAAAACUUAGCCUUUUCCCAAUUUUAGUUGUGGGCAAGUUUUAGAAAUUGUAGCAAGUCAGGCACACCCUACACAUGCAAGUCUAAGAGUAUAGCGGAAAGUAAAGAAAUGCACAUGCAAAUAGAGGGUAGGGAUAGGAAGAUCAAAUGCAAAUAUUGCCACAAUAAAUUUUGGCGUGGUUCCGAUAGGUGGUGCUAUCGUACGCCCACAUUGACGGAGACUUCAACCCAUGGAGGGUAACGGCCACGUGAGUCCAUGGAGGGCUCAACCCUUGAAGGGUCCACGGAGAAGCAACCUUGUAUAUUCCAUCACGUCUUACGUCCACGAAGGACUAGCCUCACUCGGGGUAGAUCUUCACGAAGUAGCCGAUCUCCUUGCCGUUACAAACCUCUUGGUUCAACUCCACAACACGAAGUAGGAGGCUCCCAAGAGACACCUAACCAAUCUAGGAGACACCACUCUCCAAAAGGUAAUAGAUGCGGUAGUAUGAUGAACUCCUUGCUCUUGUGCUUCAAAACAUAGUCUCCUCAACAGACACUCACUCUCUCACAAAUUUGGCUUGGGUAGAAGAGAUUGAUUGGAUGGAAAGCAACUUGGGGAGGCUAGAAACCAAGAUUCAUAUGGUAGGAAUGGAAUAUCUUGAUAUCAACACAUGAGUAGGUGGCCCUCUUUCAAAAAAAUGGAUAUGUUAAGUGUUUGUAUGUUCUGAGUGCUUCCUCUAUGAAUGAAAGGUGGUGGAGGGGCAUAUAUAGGCAUCUCCAAAAACCCAAACGUUACAACAUUAUUUCCCAACUUGGUGAAACUAAAGUGAAACUCGGUGGCAUCGACUAGUGCAGAAUGUGGCAACUUUUGUCUUUUUGUUGAGAUCGAUAUAUGAAUCUUGGUGGUACCGAUUUUGGAUGGCCUAGUUAGUUUCCACAACUCAGUGAGAACGAUUCUCAAAACUCGGAAAUUCUGAUUUUAAGAAGUUGGUUAAUAGAGUCGGGGGCACUGAUUUCGGUUGCAUCAAUAUGGAACUUAGUGGUACUGAGAUUCUAGGGUUUGCCAUGGUAUCUGUGUGGUGAAAAACUCGGUAGGGCCGAAUGGACAGUUGGUGGCACCAAAUUUCGUACAUUUAGGGUUUGGACAGAAUAUUUGUGGGAGAAUUUCAUGAGUAUUUGGUGGCUAUCUCUAAGCACUUGAGCAACGAGAUCAUCAUAGUCACCUCAUCCCGUUUUAAUAGUAUUGGCUUUCCUAUGGUCUCAAAUGUGAUUUUCACAAAAUAUAAAAUAUAGAGUCUUCAAGCUUGUUGCCAAUAUAUGUUCGUUGCAUCUAGGGAUUCUCCUCACAAUCCUUAGCCAAUGCAUCAUUGAUGUGUUCCUGAAAUAUACUAGAUAGAAUCAUUAGAACAAUGCCACAUAUGUUGUUAUUAAUUACCAAAACCACCUUAGGGAGAAGUUGUGCUUUAAAUCUCCCCAUUUUUGGUAAUUAUUGAGAACACAUAGAUCAAAGCUUCGACAUAAGAUACAAUCAAUGAAUAACAUCGUUUCUUUGAGAAGUACUCUCUCUGUAAACUAAUAUAAGAACAUUUAGAUUACUAAAAUAGUGUUCUAAAUGCUCUUAUAUUAGUUUACGGGGGGAGUAUGUGAUAAGUAAGAGCCCCCCCCCCUAAAUUUGUGCAUUAUUGUAAAUUUGUGUUUGAAUGCAAAUGCACAAUUGAUUAGGAUCAUGGGUCACUCUUCCAUGUCACAUACAGCUUGGUGGUGAGCGUAAAUGAUAUGAGUGAACAAUAAUGCACAUAACACCAAACAAAUGAGUGAAGGAUCAUAAUAUUGAUAGCUCAAGGAUAGGAAAUAGAAGCAUCAACAAUCAAAGUGUAUGAUUAAACAUGAUAAAGUUUAAGACAUAAAAAAGAACCAAAUGUUUUAGAAAACUAAAGAGAGUAACAAAAACAACACUCUCCCUCUCGAAGCCCCAUUGAUCUAUACAGUUGCCCCCUUUGGCAACAAGUUACCAACAAGUUCAAAGAUCUAGGACUAUGCGUUCCUCUGGGCUUGAUCUCCUCCGGUAGUAGUUGAUGGAUUUGAUAGGAGAGCGUAGGCGAAGGCUUCAAUAGAUGUCCUAUGAGGUGGUGGUGUUGACACUGGAGGUGUAGGAGCUAGUGGAGCUGAUGGAGUUGAUGCUUGGCUGAUGAAGACGAUCUGGAUUGCGAAACUGUCACAACUGCAGAUCUGGCCAGGGUAUUGAACUGAGUGGUAGUUGGAAUAGAUGUAUCUUCAUCAUCCCCACUGUUGGAGCUCGGAGUGUGCACUGCAUUAGAUUCAUGCUUCAACUGAUAGACAAUGGUUGUCAUCUCAGUCACCUUGAUAUCCAGGUCAUGGAAUUUGGUUUUCAUGAUCCUCUCGAGACUCUUCUGAUUCAGCAAGAUAUUUGUAAUGUUCUUCUCCACCCCUUGGAUGGUGCUGAUAAAAAACACCAUUUGAUCCUUUUUGGAUCUCAACUGUGGAGCUCUAGAUGCUCUGGCUGCCUCUGCCUCUGCCUCAACACGUAUCUCUGCGUGUGUUGUAGCUGAAGUAGGAUGAGUGGGAUCCAUCACCACUUCAUUGUCUUCAAAAUCUGGCUAGAGUGGAGGUGUCGACGAUCAAGCAGACACACAUUCUUCCUUAUCCUGGAAUUGAUCAACAUCUGAAUGUAUGGUGCAUAUCUGCAGGACCUCUUCUGGUCAGCAGCAGUCCUUCUGAUUGUUUCUACAAUCAGGUCCAUCACCCUGAUCCUGGUGUGGGUGUCUACAUUGUGCAUCAUGUUUAUGGAGUACCCCCUCAUCAUCUUACCAUCACCCGAUUUAGGCAUCAAGGUGUACUUCAUUAUGGUCUUGGUGGUGGGUAGUCCUGCUUGUAGGAAGUAGACAGAGCCAAGCUUGUGGAUCUUCAAGUAUUGCUUAGGCACUCGUGAAAGGACCACAAUGUUGCCUAGGGGGGGGGGGUGAAUAGGCGUUUUACAAACUUCUACGGAUUUGGCUUUAUCCUAAUGCGGAAAUAAACUAAGAGGAUACUUUUCAAGCACAAAUUCUAAAUAUACUAGGUUGAACUACGUGCACCAACAACUUGUUCUACUAAAUGAACACAACAAAAUUACUCACAAGCACAAGUAAGUUACACAAACUUACUUGAGCAAUAUCACAAGAUAUGUAAGUGUAUGACGCAAAUUAGCAAAUCACACUAAGCACAAGAUAUGUCAAUAGUAGCAAGUAUGAACCGCAGAUAUAAAGUGUAGGCCUAAAUGAUUAUUCUUUACAGGGAAAUAGCCAACACAAUAUAACAAGGACAACAAUAUGUAGUGAAUGUACGCUCAAGUAACGAAAGCAAACCACAAGUAAGGAGUUAGGGUUAGGGAUAACCGAAGUCACGGAGACGAGGAUGUAUCCUGAUGUUCACUUCCUUGGAGGAAAGCUAGUCACCGUUACAGAGGUGGAUGUUACCACGAAGGCACACCAACGCCACGAAGGCUCACCCUAUUCUCCUUGAGACAACACCACAGAGGCAUUUCUCAACCACUAGUGGUAGUCCUUUGAGGUGGUCUCCAAACCCUCACAAAAUUUUCGGGGGUAAUCACAACGGUUUGAUUCCUCUCUGAAGAACUCCUACCGCCUAGGAGUCUCCAACCUCCAAUAGUAACAAGAUCACGGGGACUGCUCAAAACUUGCUCAAAUCACAAAUAGCUUGGGUUGAGAGGAGGAGAGGGAGAUGAUCUAUGUUUUGACUGGACCAACACUCAAAGGAACUCACAAAUGCUCUUGAGAUAUAAGAUUUGGUGUAAGAAAAUGGGAGUGAGAGAGAAAGAUGUUCAUGGAAUGUUUCAGCUGUGUUGGACACCUCCCACCCGAGGUGGGAGAAGACUAUAUAUAGUGGUGGUAGAAAAGUGGCUGUUGGAGCCACUUAUGCCGUGGACUUGCCGGACGUCCGGCAGUUCACGGUCGUCCGGACAGCCACGAGGGGUCGGACGUCCGACAGUGGUCGGUCCUCCGAAGAUGCAGAAGAUAUCAGGUUACCACAGUAUUUGGUGGAGGGGAUAUCAGCAUAUGGAGUCCGGAGGAGUCGGCCGUCCGAAGAUACAUAAAGUAUUAGGUCAGCACAACAUCUGGUGAUAGGGUGAACAGUAUACAGACGUUCGAAAGGCAUCGGUCGUCCGGAAAUGGUCGGAAGUCCGACAGUUUGAAUCUAUUGAGUGGCAACGGAUUUCCUACCGUGAUCAGACGUUAUGUCCUCGGACGACCGAAGGAGCCGGAAGUUUGAGGGUUUGAAUCUGUUGGCUGACUCGGGAUUUCCGGAGGACGUCGGUCAUCCGGCGUCUGGACCUCCGAGAACCACCGGACGACCGGACAAGAGCAGACCCAGAAUAGGAAGAUAGAGAAAGAGGAUUUGCCUAGAGUUUUGAGCAAGUUUCUUGCGAGACCAGUGACCCCCUCUUAAUAGUGCGGGAUCCCUAAAACUCAAGAAUCAUAUAAGAACUACACUACAUAGCUAUCAAUAAUCCAUGCUUGAGUGUAUAUGUUCAUUCGGUGAUCAUCACUCCACACCACUAACGUCAAAGGAACUAAUACCUUUGAGUCAAGCCUUUCACUUGAGCUUGAUGUUCUUGUUUCUUCUUGGCACAAGCUAAGGGCAAGACAUUGAUAAAGUCUUCAAGUAGCUCUCCCAUACACAAUGUGAAAAGACUUGCUUUGUAUUCAUCUUUACUUGUCCAUCAUGUGAACAUCCACAAGCUUCAAGCAUAUAAUCCUUAGGAAUGGUUAUCUUGAACUUGCCCUUGUCAAACAUGAUCAUGAAGACUUGAUGUCAUCCUCUCAUGGACACUUGCAAUCUCUCUCCUGAUGCGAGCCCAUGAGUAUUACCUAACCCUCAUAGACAUAGACAACACAUAGUAUCGGUUAGUACACAAAGUGCAAUUGACAAUUACUUACCAUACCACAAGAUCCCAUGUAAUAUAUCAUUUGCGCUUGUGCGAUGACCAACUUUGAGUUAACUCUUUGAUCUUCAUCUUGGUCAACAUUUAUCUUUGAUCCAUGAUUAAUCUUGAUGUAUUGAAGGCCCUAUUGAUUUCUUGUUAGGCUUCGUUUCUUUAAUAAAUGAUUACCAAUAUCUCAAUUCAUCAUGACCAUAUUAGGUUUCUCCAUGAAUCUCAUAUUGGGUAUAACUUGCUUGUCUUCAUGAUACAACGUGUGAGCUCAUCAUGAUCCUAUUUUCAAGACAUAUGUAGAAUUCUUAUCUUUAGUUAUUCUCUCAAGAUCUUGAUCCAUCAUGGUUCAAACCAUAAGUCAAGGCACGAGUAUGUCUGAGAUCCUCAAUGAACUCCACAUAGAUCACAUCUUGUUCAUCACAUGGAAUUCAUCUUGAUCGUAUCAUAUUUGAUUCAUCAUUGAGAUCAUCCUUGAUGCAUGCACAACAAUAGGUAUAUGACAUUCAUUUAUAAUUCAUUUCGCAACUUCUUACGAUCAUUAUGAUAAGUAUGGGUCCAAAAUACAUCCUAACACAUGAGUGCAUAAGAUUAUAUGCAAAACAUAUAAGCACUCACUUCGCAACCUCUUACUGAUACCAACAAUGAAUCAAUAAGGAACCAAGUGACUGGCAAGGAUCAAGUGAUAUGACAAAGAUGGGAUCUUACUUAUGUGCACAAAUUUCUAAGUGGACAAUAGUCAUCUAUGUAUCCACACCGAAACUUGCAUACAUAAAAUAGUCGCAAUUGAUAAGAACAUGAUAUGCACAAGUAAAUCCAUUAUUGUACACAUGUUAUCCUAACACAAGAGCAAGGCACAUGGCACAAAUUGAUCUCAUUUGUUUAACCAUGAAUUUCUAUGAAGAUACCAAAUACUAUGAGCAAUUAUAGUGUUUUUGGAUUUUUUAUAAAAAAUGCACAUGAGAGAACAUUUUAGGAAUUGAUUUGCAAUGAAUUGCUUAUUUGGCAUGUCUUGGGAUAAAUGAACCAUGAAUAUGAUUUUGUAGAUCCCCAUUAGAUGAUUCUACUGAGUUGUCUAACCAUUCCAAUAGAGUGUUUCUCAAGAACAUGCAGGAAAACAGAAAUAGAAUAAGUACUAUUACAUGCUAUGAUGCAACCUAUACAAGGUUGACUCUACUUAUAUACAUGCAUGAAGUGAAUACUUGUUACCGAGAAAGUAUUGGUAUGGAGUAGUAAUGACUGAGUCAUAUACUCAUUGGCUCUAAUUCCCUUGUGGUGACACCACCUUCUUUAUGAAUAAGCCAAGACAACAAUGCUUCUCCAAUGUACCUAGGCCACUCUUAAGUACAAUAUGGUCCCCAAACUUAUUGGGUCUGAAGUAGUUAGUCUAACUACAAUACAUAGGGCAAAACCACUGAAUUAUGUGCAUAUAGAUAUGAAUUUCAAUUUCAUGCACAUCUUAGCUUUGAAGGAUAUGACGGAUUUACCAUAUAUAUGUUGGAUCAAAAAAUAAAGUAAACAAGGCAUGAGAAUUUACACAUAGUAAAUAUGCCUACACAAGCUUACCAAAAUCCUAAGAGAUACAAAUUGGACAAAUGAACACAUAACUGUUAAUACUUCCAAUAACCUCGCCAAUCAUUCAUGUUGUCCAAAAUAAAUCAAAGUGACAAAUCAACAUAUGAUAGCACACCAAGUUCAACACAUGAACCAAGCAAAACAAGUGAGCAUAUAAGAUAUGCAUUGAACAUAUUCUUACAUGCAUAUCUCACUUAAGUAGAUAUAUUAUAGUACCAGUAAUAAGAUAGUAACUCCCACAAUACCAUAGAACUAGUAAUAUGGACUCAAACAAAAGUAUGGGAGAUUACCGGGAGACAAAUGAAUUUCUCGGCUAGUUAUAAAAUGCAAGUAGAAGCAAGCCGACAUAAAUAUGACCAUGAAACUCUACCAUACAAGGAAUACCAAGUGUAAGAGAACAAAAUGGUAUUUAGAAUUAUCAUUCAGUGAUAGAUUCCAAAUAAGCACAAGGUCAUUUAUACUCACACAAGCAUGAUAUGAGAGUUUAGCAAUAAGCACAAUGCUUAGAUACCAUAUUAUUAACAUGCUAAUUAGCUAGAUCAUCAUGUAGAGAAACAAUUGGAUAUGCUUGCAUCAUAUAUACCCUUCUUUUAAGUAUGAUCUAGAAGCUAGACCAUGAAUAAACCUGCAAUAGAAUGUCAUACUCACACAUAUCUAAGGAAUUAAACAACAAAAGAAUUAUUAGCAAAUAGAGACGUGUUGAGCAUGCUAAGCCACAAAUAUAUAAAAUAAUAUCAAUAAUAGAUCCUAAGAGGCUUUCAUCAAAUGUUUAUAUUACCAAGGACUGUGAUAUGAACAAAGCACAUCACUCCCCCAUAAUGUGAUAAUCCAUGUAUUUUCCACAGGAGGCAAUUGAAAUCCAACUAAAGAUGAUCAAUGGAUGAGAAUUUGAACUUCAAAUGAACUUGACAUACGACAUAGUAACUGGAUAAUCUUGCACUAUAAAUACUAGGUAGUGUCCAAUAUAUACACAUUUUGGGUCUGUGAUGUGCGUAGAGCAUAACACUCCCCCAUAUUGUGAUGAUCCAUUAAUAUCUCAAAAGAGCCCAAUAAGGUGCAUCCAAGAUGCAAGUAAGGAUCAAGGCUACACACACAAUGUAGCGACCCGACUCAAGACGAGUCAAGCCUCUGGUGUUUCCGUACCAUCCCAAGAUCAUGCUGGUACACACUCAGUACGUCAAUGUAUAUAUCAAGAGUUCAAUCACACAGCUUUAUUAAUCGAAAUCUCAUAUCGAGUACUUUAUUACAAUAAUAGAUUACAAUAAAGUGGCUGAAGGCCAUCUCAUGAGAUAUCUAACGAAGACUAGCGGAAGCAUCAGGUAGACGAGUCCAUCCGACUCCAGGGCAUGUCGUUGAGCGUAGAUCGUAGCCUCACUCCUGGUCGGAAAAGUACUCUGCAACAUGAUACGUUGCAUCCGUGUAGGUCAGCAUAUGGAAUAUGCCGGCAAGUCAUCAAAGAGAGGGGGGUAAAAUAAUAAUCAACUAUCUCUACAUGCAUAUUUGGCAGGUGGGGCUAAUAGUUUUGCAUAAAGCCAAUUUUCUCCUACAACAAGAGGGGCUGGAAGCAAAAUAUUACUACAUUGUUUGUUGUUAACGAGAUGGUUCCGCCAACCAAUUCUCGUACCCGAGUUGUUGUUAACACCCACAUCAUUAUUAAGUUGUGUCGAGAGUUCCGGGGAAUUUCAAUGCCUUCGGCUCAAGUUGUCCAUGACCGUGGACACGGCUAAUCGAUUAGGUUUGGGCACUCUGCAGAGUUUUGCACACGUUCCCCACAAGAUUUGAUCGCCUCCGAGUAGGUCCUCGCACUUCAGGGUGUUUGAAGACCGGAUGAUCAAAACAUGGUCUUUCAACGGGUCCCUCUGAAUCCCUGUCGUUGCCCAUCCAUUCCUACCGUUCUUCUACAUCUGCUAGCACCGCCUGUCUAGAGUCUCCGCGUUGUCCAACCAAGCCAGAGUCCAUAAUGACUUGUGGCUGUGCAGGUAAGCCUUGGGUCUUGAAGCCUCCGUCCGUCUCUUCGAGCCUGGGUCAAGCUUUCCGCAAGAUGUCAUGCCGUCUCCAGCAUCCCGGGUCAUCCACUGGUUUCUCCAGGGAGCCGAUCAACCGUCCUUCACCCAGAGUUGCAUUGCAUCACGAGGUCUUGAAAAUCUUGUCUUAACCGGUCUUGAUUAUUUAAUCAACCUCGCAUCUCUCGUGUUAUGCACUCAACCGAAAUCCCGUCUACUCAAGCAUAGCAAUAUGAAAUUUGUCGUCCCGGGGCCAAGUAUCGGGGUUGUUGUGUGCCUACCACAUGAUACUUCAACCUAUACUAAAAUUUCCAAGUACCUAAGCAGAAUGCAAUAGGGCAAAGAAAGGUGAAACUACCAUGCAUCGAAAAACAUAGGAGAUAGUAUGAUCAAAAUAACUUGCCUUGAUGAUAGUUGUCUUGAUCGAGCGCUUCUAAGUAACAAGCUUCGCACUCCGGGUGAUCUUCUUAUACAAACAAAUACACACCAUAAGCACUACUCAAACAACAAGCAAAAAUAACAUCACAAGUAAAUAGUUGCUAUGGCCUAAGUGAAAGAAUUCACUAUCCGUCACUAAGGCAGAAACUUGUUUCUGUUAAAACCCCAAGUAAAAAUAUUUGAAUUUUUUUGAAACUUAUACCACGGUAAGAUAUAAUCACUAGGAAGCAGUAGCAAAAAGAAUCAAAUCCAAAUCAUUUUUUAAACUCCAGGAAUAAGCAAAACAAGGUUUAAACUAAAUCUGAUAUAAUUCAAAUUUGAAAAUUUCAAACAUAGACAAAUUAUAUGUUUUUAAAAACUAAAGAAAAAUUGUGAUCUACUGGAAGAAGUUUCAACUCCAUUGGAAUUCGGUAUCAAAAGCUAUGAUCAAAACAAAUUUGAAACUUUCUCUGUUUUGGAAUUAAACAGAAAAAGAGAAAACAGAUUCUAACAGACAGUGGUACACGUGGCAGUUUCUGAUUUGCUGAUGGGUGUUUGCUGCGAGGGAAAACUAACACAUGGCCGCAACCUAAGGAGAACUACUCGGCUCAGUUGAAGUGACAGAAAAACCGUCGGUUCUUUUAAAAGAACCNNNNNNNNNNNNNNNNNNNNNNNNNNNNNNNNNNNNNNNNNNNNNNNNNNNNNNNNNNNNNNNNNNNNNNNNNNNNNNNNNNNNNNNNNNNNNNNNNNNNNNNNNNNNNNNNNNNNNNNNNNNNNNNNNNNNNNNNNNNNNNNNNNNNNNNNNNNNNNNNNNNNNNNNNNNNNNNNNNNNNNNNNNNNNNNNNNNNNNNNNNNNNNNNNNNNNNNNNNNNNNNNNNNNNNNNNNNNNNNNNNUUCUUUUAAAAGAACCGAAGGGGUAUGCACAUCUAAUCUAACCCAUUGAUCUAAGAUCCUACGGUGGAAAAAAACAACAAGAAAACUAGAGGAGGGAGAGGCUCACCGUGGCUGAGAGGAGCUGGGCAACUCCGGUGGCUAUUCGGCGAGGNGCUGGUCGCCGGCAGGGUGGGGCGGCGGAGGAGGGGGGCGGUCGGCUCCGGGCGUCGGGGAGGCAAUAGGGGAGGCGUCGAGGGCGACGGGGGAGACAACAGGAGCUUCUGCUGGUCGAGCAGGGCGGAGCUCCGGCGACGUCGAGGGGGCGGCGUGGGGGUGGAACGGGGCGAGGGCGGCGUGGGGGUUCAGUUUUUAUAGGGGGAGGGGGUGGCCGAGGAGGGUAGGGAAUCGGGGUUGCCAUGGAAAUUUCAGGUUCGCUGGGAGAAAGGAAGGUCACGGGAGAACAGAGAAGGAAGGAAGAAGAAGAGGGAAGGAAAGAGAGAGAAAAAAAAGGAAAGAAAAAUAAAAGGGGUAAGAAAGAAAAAAAGAAGAAGAGGUGGCGUUGUGGGGGUCUCGUGCUGCGGAUAGCCAGGGAAUUUCUGGCUUCCUGCCGAUGGGAUCUCGCGAGAAAUAUCUCCCGUAUGUUUUUUUUAACAGAAACUAAAACGAAAAAAGGAAACAAAUAAAAUAAUUAAUAUAGGAUAUUAUAUACCAAAAUGAUCAGAAAAAUAUCCUCUACCCGAUUAACAUUUUUCCAAGACAAAAAUAAAAACUUUUAAAAAAUGUUUUUUCAGAAAAAAUCCCUUAUGCUAUAUUUUCCUUUUGCAAUUAUUUUCACGAUAAAACUUUGGCUUUCUUGGCUCAAAAUGUUUCAAAAAUGCCUCACACUUUGGAGGGUCAUUUUCCUCCGCUCUCUCUUGCAUGCAAGAGAUUAUUUCCCGGCACUUCUCGUGUGAAGAAAAAAAAUAGAAAUGCAAAAGCAAAAGUCGAAAGAAUUCAAAUGCAAACUUUAUUUAAAUCAAUAUGCAUAGAUGCUUAGCUACAAUGUAAAACAUUCCCAAUUAGGAAAAUUGGGAUGUCACAUACAACAAUAUGACAUGCAUAACAACCUACACAUGCUAGAUGACACGAAUCAAGCAUACUAGGAGGCACAACAUAUCAAAACACAUGCUAGGUAGCAAAUCUGAACAUGAGAGGGGCUAGUGACUUUCAAUGUAGACAAUAUAUACGAGUUACCGCUAGGAGAGGCAUUAUGACGACAAAUAUGAUGGUAAUAUUCCUUACUUGGCUUGAACCAUAAUAAAUGCUGCAAAUAAUUUUUCUUCAUGAACCAACCAAGUCUUCAAUGCCCUCCACACACCUAUGAAGUUUGAGAUUGAUGGUCCCCAACCAAGUUGGGUCCUAAGAAGUUAGUAAUAAUAGGCUUGGCAACCCAAAUGAUCUUAUCCACUUCCGAACCACUUUGGGCACCAACAUACCUGGCAAACAAAUUGCCAAAAAUAUCCUUCCUAAGUGAAUAAUGAUCAUUUAUAAUUGGAGGCUUAGAGAUGUUACCAGUGGGGCAUGUUGAAGCUAUGUGCCCCUUCCUUCGACAGAUAUCAUAACAUGUACUCCCCUUUUUGUUCUUCUUCUUUACUUUCUCAACUUGGGAAGAAAUAACAUGUUUGAUCAUGCAUACUGGUCGUUCUAAACCAUGAGGUUGAGCUUGAGGCCUCUUCCCACGUAAAAUAUCUUUAUAAGCCUUUAUCUUUAAUGGACAAGAUCUCAUGUGAUGCCCAACCUUUUUGCACUUAAAGCAAGAAAUGUUGGACUUGUUCGUGGCUUGGUCUUGUCCCCUUUUCUUGUUCUUGGACUUCUUCUUAUUGUAAUGAUAACUAUGUUCAUUAUCACACUUUUCCAAGUCUUUCUUCAAACUAGUGACUUGGGCCUUGAGCUCAUUAAUUUCUUCUACAUGGUUAGUUUCAACACAAGAAACAAGAGGACUAGUGGAAGUAGAAACUUCAUGGUUAGAGAAACAAGACAAUGCGAGCAAUUCAUCAUGAUUGGUAAUUAUAUGAGAGGUGGAUGAAUUGCAAGGAUUAGCACAUGGCAAUAAAGCAUUCCUAGUAGAUGUGCUAAUGUUCACAUGAGACUCACAAGAUUUUACCUUUAUGGCCAUAGUCUCAAGUGCUAACUUUAGCUCAUUAUGAGAGAUUAGAAGAUCCUCAUGAGUGUUCAAGAGAUUUUCAUGACUUUCUUCCAAUUUCCCAUAAUUGCUGGUUAGUAAAUCAAGUUGAGCACAUAACUCAACAUUCUCCUUCAAAGUUGAUGCUUCAAAUGAGGUAGAGUUAGAUGGACAAGUAUCAUCGACAAUAUGAGAGGAGUAAGUAGAAAUUAGAGACUUCUCAUGAGUAGAUUGAAGCUCCUCAUAUAUCUUAGAGAUUUUGAUGAGCUCUCCCUUGACAUUAUUGCAUUCAAGGAGAAGGAGCUCAAAAUCCUAUUUAAGUUUACCAUGAGCAAUUUCAAUCUCUCCUUUUGAAGAUCUUAAGCCUCUACAUGUUUGAUGAGCCAUAUCAAGUUCAUGUUCAAGUUAUCCACUUUUAACUUGCUCGUAAUUAAAUAAAUCAUUACAUCUUUCAAAGUAAGCAAGAACAUAUUGAAACCUUUGAUAAGCGUUAUUUUUAGCUCUAUGAAGAAUUUUACCAAUCUCAUAGAGAUUUUCAGUCAAGUCAUCAUCAUCAUCCUCAUUACAAAUAUCAUCAUUUUCACUAAGAGAAGAUGAUACCUCAUCAUUACCUCUUGCCAUGAGGCACAUGUAAACAAAGGGAGUUGAUGAUGAUUCUUUUGGAGAAUAAGGUUCUUUAUUAAUCAAGAGUGCCUCAUUUUUCUUGAUUUCCUCUAAAUGGUUAGUCAUAGGAAAACUUGAGGAAACCAAAGCAUUUUGAUCAUCAAAACACGGGAGAGCAAGCAAAUCAUCACAAUAUAUUUUUUCACUCACCAUGUCAUUACCUUGUGGCACACCACAUGUUGGUGGAGUGGAAGAUGUUGAAGUGCGCAAGUAAUCAGAGGUGGAAGCAAUGGAUGGAUCUUCAUGACAGAAUAAUGUGGAGAGCUCGUGCAACAACUCCUUCAACAUAAUAUUGUCUUCAUCAAGAUUGAACCCACCAUAUAUAUCUUUGAGUUUGGUCCAAAAUUUAUGAGCCGACUUGCAAGUCAAGAUUGACUUAAACACUUCAGGGCUUAUAGUUUGAUGAAUGGCAAGGGAGGCAACACAAUCAAGAUACAUGUCAUCUAUAGAUGGAUAUGGAUCAUCCUUUGCAAAAGUAAUCCCUACAAGAACAAUUCGUAAAGCAUUUGGGCCCAUGGACCGAAGGUGAUAAAGCAUACGAAUUCUCCCCAAGUGAUAAUUUGUGCCAUCAGAAUCAAAGGUGUCAUUGUGCACUAAUCCAUCAGUCGACAUCGAUACUCUCUAGGUGGUGAAGCCUAAUAAGGAGAGACCUUGCUAUGAUACCAAUUGAAAGGACCACAAUGUUAACUAGAGGGGGGGGGGGUGAAUAAGCGUUUUAAAAACUUCUACGGAUUUGGCUUCAUCCUAAUGCGGAGAUAAACUAAGAGGAUACUUUUCAAGCACAAAUCCUAAAUAUACUAGUGUCACAGCCCUAGAUUGUUUUUUUUUUUUUUUUUGGUUGCAUCAGAAAGCAUCCAUGCAUCAUGUUAAAAUCCUUUUGAACCCUAAAUGGGGAUGAUCAAAAUCUAGCACCAAGUAAAAUAGAAAUAGGUUCAACAAAGAUUAUUUUCAAUGAACCCAAAAUGGUUUUCAAAAUGAUCAUAUUUUCUGAUAAAUGUUGGCGACAACAUUUCAGUGAUGACCUUCAUUUUUAAAACUUUGUUGACAUUUUAAUUAAUCUCCAAAAGUCACAAAGUUGGAUAAAACAAUCAGCUAUAAACGUUUUACGUAUUUCAAAAAUACUGAAAUUUGCUAUGGAGUUCGGAAAUAAUCCAAAUAUACCCCAUAUUUAUCUUUAGGGUUUUACAAAAUGAUUUGUUAUUUUAUUAAAUUCAAAAACAAAUGUUAGAAUUAGAAAAAACAGAAAAGAAUAGAAAAAAGAAAAGAGCUAUCCUGCGCUCACCUUGUCGGCCCAGCCCACCAGGGGCACCCGUGUCUUCUACCUCCUGCCAGAAGGUAGAGGAGAAGUAGAGGACGACAAGCUCGUGGGAGCGCCACGCCUCCUGCCUACCUGGCCUCCCCGCCAAUUUGGUGAGUGGGAUAGGCUCAGAGGAGCCGUCCCCAUCGAGCCAGCCUCCCUAUUCCCCCUGCUCUCCUCUUCGCCUCUGCUCGCCAUGACCGAGCCGCCAUGACCAAGCAGCCGUCAAGUGCGUAGCCUCCGGCCACCCCUCGCCCCUCUGUUGUGCCCUUAAGAUCCUCUGCGAAGCCCUGGUCCUCUCCGCCAUUGGCAUCAAGCCGAGAUGCCCUGCAUCAUCGACGCCAUCUUCAUCUUCUUCCUUGGACUCGCCGGUCGCCGUCAUUCGAUUCGUUCCCAACAGAGCCUCCCCGGGCGCGCCGACCACCUCCCUCUCACCGCAGUGAGCCCGUGAUCUUUUCCCCUAUCCUCCCACGCUCUCCCGUGCCCCGUAUCCCCGUUCCCCACCAUCGCCGAGAUCCCCUCACCGCCGUUGCCGUCGUUGUCGUCGCUGUGGUCCGCCGCCGACGCAUUCGAGCUCGGGAAUGAGCUCCUGGAGCUGAGUAGAGCCUGUAGGGCACUUGCUCUAUGCCGCUAGUGCCCUGCAGCCCCACAUCCACAUGCGGCCGAACGCCAGCCGCAGCCAAGCUCGUCGUGGCCGUCGUCUCCGGCGACCCCAUGCCCUCUCGACCCCUCUGCUCGAUGCGGUCGAGUACAGGCUUCCUCCCAGUGCCCCCAGUGCAUUGCCCCAAGCCCUGUAGCGCGAGUUUGAGCAACUCCGACGAGAACCCACCACUGUUUUGGUCGCCGCCGGUGAAGUUCCGGCGAAGUCCGACGUGGCUAGUUAUUAUAAGUAUAAUCCACUAAUUAGUGUAGCUAACAGACGAUGACAGUGGGCCCUGGCGUGGGUCAAAGCCCGGGUGAGCGCGGGAUUAAUCCCUGUGCCGCUGACCACUGGGUCCCACCUGCCAGUGACCGUAGCCAGCCCUGGGUCACUGACCAGUGGACCCCAAUGGCCAGGUUUGACCUGGGACGACCUCUGUUGACUGCUGACGCAAUACCGGCGUCAGGCUGGCGCAAUAAUUGGUUUUCUAAUAUAAAAGAAAUUUCAGAAAAUGCUGAAAACUUCUAAAAAUCAUAGAAAAUAAUCUGUAAGUCCAAUGAAAAUAAUUUAUAUAUGAAAAAUGAUCAGAAAAAUUCAAGGAAUCUGAUUAUGACAUUUUCAUGCAUGUUUGAGAAAUUUAACAUCACCAAGUAGGCAAAAUGAUGAUUAGGGUAAAUUUAAUGAAAGAUUGGAGUUGGAAUUUGGUAUAUAUUUGAACUCCACUUCAAUUAACAAGACCAAACAUUGAGCUAGGAAAACGAGUAACUCAAAAUGCCAUCUUCAUGCAUGCUAAAACAAGUUAUACCUCAGCAUCAGGUCAAAUCAAUUAAAAGGGUAUCCGGAAAAUACAUUGCUUGAAGUGAUAUUUGAAUUCUAAUUCAAAUCCAGCUUCAACCUAAGAAAUGGUAACUAUAUUGGCCCUGCCACUUCUCAUCUUCAUUUCAUGAUCAUGCAUCAUACUGUUGCAUUUCUGUGAAGUAAUUAUUGUUCUUUCUUAUUUGCCGGUACUGUUCCCUGUCGGUAGAUGAUGGUUCCGACGAUGUGAUCGUUGACAUUGAUGAAGACUCAUUGCUAUCUUCAGACGUGUCAGGCAAGCAAACCCCCUUGAGCAUACUGAGAUAAACCCACUCUCUCGCUCCUUCUCUCUUUUAUUGCAUUAGGACAAACACGAUUCAACUGUUACAUGUUCUCGGUAGUUGAACCCAUUCCUCUGCAUAACCUGAUUUUGCCACAGUAAAUAGUUGAAACCACUUAGCAUGAGUAGCAACUGCUUGAGCCCUGAUGUGCUUACUCAUCCAUGCUUGCUUACUGUGCCUGCUAUGCUUAGAGUUGUGUCAAGUCUGAUCCAUCUGGAUGAUGAAUCGGAAUGGUUGUGUUCAUGUUCUACCAUGUGAGAGUAAAGGUGUGAAUUCAAUUUGGUAAAGGUAGCGAUGAGAGGCAAUGUAGGCGUACAUGGUGGGUUGUCUCAUUGGGACCGUCCUUAAGAACUGAGUUCUGUGUAUGUUAUCCAAGACAAGAUACUACCAUGCAUUGGCCCCUGAAAUAUGACCCCGCUUGGCUUAUUAAUUGCCUAGAUCUCUGUCCAGGAGUUGCAAUUAGUUUCUGGUGUUUGUAGGAAAAGUGUUGGUGGCCGUGUUUAGCUCUGCCCGACGGGGUAGGCUUCUCUGCGGUAGAUACACAGUGGCACGGUGUACCAAGUGGCACCCGGAUGGUGGGCUUGGGAACCCUGCGCACAUCGUUUGGGGCCGUAGAGGAAACCUCGGCCGGACUUCUUUGCGGGUUCAGUCUCAAAUAGGCGAUAAACCUGGACUAGGGUCUUGUGUGGUUAACGGUCGUGGCCGACACCCAUGCCAGUGCUUCCGCUUGAAGGUUGUCGAGAUGCAUGACAUGCAUAUGGUGCUAAGUGGUGAGAGCAUGUGUGAAUAAGUAUACCCCUGCAGGGUAAAUCAAUCUAUUCGAAUAUCCGCGUCCUCGGAUAUGGACUACUUGGAAACAUUAUGUGGUACAUAGACAAUUUUAAUGGAUACUCUAAAACAUGCAAGAUAAGUGUGAGUGUUAUGGAUGGCCUUCUCAUAGGGAGACGAGAGUGGAUCCAUAGUGGUGUAUUGAAUUGGUGAAUAUGUGGGCUCGUGUGCGCUAUCCCACCUCAAAGAAAGAACUUGUAGUCGUAGUACAGGUUAGCCAAGAGUCAAAGCUGGCUUGCUGCAAUCAAACCCCACACUCCUUUCAUUGAAACAUGAUGCAUAUGUAGAUAGUUCUGAUGUAAGUCUUGCUGAGUACCUUUGUACUCACGGUUGCUUUAUUUAUGUUUUUGUAGAGAAGAUUUAGUCUCAUUAAAAGGUUCUACGCGAUGUGUUCGAUGUUGACCAGAAUAGCUUGGGAAUCCUAGACAGAGGUCUGGUUCCUCUGGUAGGGUCGUUGUAGCUUUUCAGGCUCUUCCAGCCACUUUUAGUAGAUGUCUGUACCCAGACAUGUUUUUCUUCCACUUGUUGUUUGUAUGACUUGAGUGUCGGGUCACAAGACCCCUGUUUGUAAUAUCAUACUAUGUUGACUUUUAUGGGUCCUUAAUAAAAGCUUGAGUCAUAGAGUUAUGUUGUUAUGCCAUGUUGUAUCUAAAAAUUAUCGUGCAUAAUGUGUGUAUGUUUGAAAUGCAUUAUAUGUGUGGGAUUCGACACCUAGUUGUGUGCCUUUAGUAGUACUCUUUACAGGGAAAUGCCUCUUUGCGCUUACAUCAAGCCUUGGUAGCUUGCUACUGCUUUGGACACAUUGAUUGACCGACAUGUAUCCUUGUUUGCUGCUGUGUCUGUCCCCUCAGGGAAAUGUCACGCGGUGUAAUGGAGUCCAUGUAGCUUGCUACGACUCGUCUACACACGCUGUUGGCCGACAGCUGCUUUGUUGAGUUAUGUAUGCCUGUCCCUGUGCGGAUGUACCACAUGGGUUUAUAACUAGUCAUGUCGACCCAGGUUCUUGUCGUUCGAAUGCUAGGGACACAUUCAUAUACGUGAGCCAAAAGAUGUAAACGGUCCCGACCAAGGUAAGGUGGCAGCCGUGGAGUUUACCGUGCGUGAGGCUGCAAAGUGAUGUGAUGUGUUACAGGGUGGGUUCUUAUGACUUAGGAUCGGGGUCCCGACAACUAGGCUCAAUUACGUGCACCAACAACUUGUUCUACUAAGAUGAAUGCAACAAGAUUACUCACAAGCACAAGUAAGUUACACAAACUUACUUGAGCAAUAUCACAAGAUAUGUAAGUGUAUGACACAAGUGAGCAAGUUGCACUAAACACAAGAUAUACCGAUAUUGCGGGAUAUAAAGUGUAGGCCUAAAUGAUUAAUCUUUACACGGAAAUAGCCAACACAAUAUAAUAUGGACAACAAUAUGUAGUGAAUGUACACUCAAGUAACCAAAGUAAACCACAAGUAAGGAGUUAGGGUUAGGGAUAACCGAAGUUACGGAGACAAGGAUGUAUCCUGAUGUUCACUUCCUUGGAGGGAAGGUAGUCACCGUUAGAGAGGUGGAUGUUACCAUGAAGGCACACCAAUGCCACGAAGGCUCACCCUAUUCUCCUUGAGACAACAUCAUGAAGGCGUUUCUCAACCACUAGUGGUAGGCCUUUGAGGUGGCCUCCAAACCCUCACAAACUUUCCAGGGGUAAUCACAACGGUUUGAUUCCUCUCCGAAGAACUCCUAUCGCCUAGGAGUCUCCAACCUCCAAGAGUAACAAGAUCAUGGGGACAACUCAAAAUUGCUCAAAUCACAAAUAGCUUGGGUUGAGAGGAGAAGAGGGAGAUGAUUUAUCUUUUGAUUGGACCAACACUCAAAGGAUUUCGAAGAUGCUCUUGAGGUCUAAGAUUUGGUUUAAGCAAAUGGGAGUGAGAGAGAAAUACGUUCAUGGAAUGUUUCAGCUAUGUUGGGCACCUCCCGCUCGAGGUGGGAGAAGACUAUAUAUAGUGGUGGUAGAAAAGUGGCCGUUGGAGCCACUUAUGAUGUGCACUUCCCGGACGUUCGGCAGUUCACGGUCGUCCGGACAACCAUGAGGGUUCGGACGUCCGACAAUGGUCGGUCGUCCGAAGAUGCAUAAGAUAUCAGGUUGGCACAACAUCUGGGGAUAGGGUGAACAGUAUACGGACGUCCGAAAGGCAUCGGCCGUCCGGGGCACGGUCGCCCGGAAAUGGUCGGAAGUCCGACAAUUUCAAUCUGUUGAGUGGCAACGGAUUUCCUACCGUACCGUACGUCCGGUCCUCGGACGACCGGAGGAGCCGGAUGUUUGAGGGUUUGAAUCUGUUGGCUGGCUCCUGAUUUCUAGAGGACGGCGGUCAUCCGGCGUCCGGACGUCCGAGAACCACCGGACGAGCGGACAAGAGCAGACAAACAACAGGAAGAUAUAGAAAGAGACUUCUCAUGAGUAGAUUGAAGCUCUUCAUAAAUCUUAGAGAUUUUGAUGAGCUCUCCCUGGACAUCAUUGCAUUCUAGGAGAAGGAGAUCAAAAUCCUCUUUAAGUUUACCAUGAGCAAUUUCAACCUCUUCUUUUGAAGAUCUUAAGUCUCUACAUGUUUGAUGAGACUUGUCAAGUUCAUGUUUAAGUUUUUCACUUUUAGCUUGCUCAUAAUUAAAUAAAUCAUUACGUUUUUCAAAGUAAGCAAGAACAUCUUGAAACCUUUGAUAAGCGUUAUUUUUAGUUCUAUGAAGAAUUUUACCAAUCUCAUAGAGAUUUUUGAGUCAAGUCAUCAUCAUCGUCCUCAUUACAAAUAUCAUCGUUCUCACUAAGAGAAGAUGAUAGCUCAUCAUUACCUCUUGCCAUGAGGCACAUGUGAACAAAGGGAGUUGAUGAUGAUUCUUUUGGAGAAUAAUGUUCUUUGUCAGUCAAGAGUGCCUCAUUUUUCUUCAUUUCAUCUAAAUGGUUAGUCAUAGGACAACUUGAGGAAAACAAAGCAUUUUGAUCAUCGAAACAUGGGAGAGCAAGCAUAUCAUCGUAAACAUUUGUCAAGGAAUCCUUAGGUGAUAUGCAUGGACUAUCAACACAAUAAUUUACACUAUAUGUGGUGCUAGAUAUGCCCAUGUCCAUAGAGGAUACAACUCUAGAAUCAACACAAGCAAGUUCAUUAAUAAUGAGCUUAACGCCAUCAUCACAAGAUAUUUCUUCACUCACCAUGUCAUUACCUUGUGGCACGCCACUUGUUGGUGCAAUGGAAGAUGUUGAAGUGUGCAAGUAAUCGGAGAUGGGUGAAAUGGAGAGCUCUUCAUUAUAGAACAAUGUGGAGAGCUCGUGCAACAACUCCUUCAACAUAAUAUUGUCUUCAUCAAGAUUGGACCCACUAUAUAUGUCUUCGAGUUUGGUCCAAACUUCAUGAGCUGACUUGCAAGUCGAAAUUGACUUAAACACUUCAGGGCUUAUAGUUUGAUGAAUGGCAAGGGAGGCAACAAAAUCAAGAUACAUGUCAUCUAUAUAUGGAGAUGGAUCAUCCUUUGCAAAAGCAAUCCCUACAAGAACAAUUCAUAAAGCAUUUGGGCCCAUGGCCCGAAGGUGACAAAGCAUACGAAUUCUCCACAAGUGAUAAUUUGUGCCAUCAAAAUCGAAGGUGUCAUUGUGCACUAAUCCGUUAGUCAACAUCGAGACUCUCUAGGCAGUGAAGCCUAAUAAGGAGAGACCUUGCUNNNNNNNNNNNNNNNNNNNNNNNNNNNNNNNNNNNNNNNNNNNNNNNNNNNNNNNNNNNNNNNNNNNNNNNNNNNNNNNNNNNNNNNNNNNNNNNNNNNNGAAGUUUUCAAGUUUUGGGUAUUGUCCCGAUGGACAAAGGAUUGAGGAGUAGCAAAACCCUAAUCUUGGGGAUGCCCAAGGCACCCCAAGGUAAUAUUCUAGGAAUACUCAAGCGUCUAAGCUUGGGGAUUCCCCGGAAGGCAUCCCCUCUUUUCGUCUCAACCCAUCGGUAUGUUACUUGGAGCUAUAUUUUUAUUCGUCACAUGAUAUGGGUUUUUCUUGGAGCGUAGUUUGAUUUUGUUUGCUUUUAUUUUUAGUUUACCACAAUCAUUGUUUUUUGGACACACCUAUUUUUGAGAGAGACCACAUCAUCACAAUUUGUUAGAAUACUCUAUGUGCUUCACUUAUAUCUUUUGAGCUUAGUAGUUGCUCUAGUUCUUCACUUCUAUCUUUUUGAGCAUGGUGGUAUGCAGAUUUUAUAGAAAUAUCAUGCUCCUAUUCUUCACUUAUAUUUGGUUGAUAGGUGGGAAAAUAGUGACGGUAAUUUGCAUGAGUCAUAAGAGUAGAUAAAAAAAUGAGUAGUCAAUGAGUGAUGAUAAAAACCAUCAUGUAGCACAUAUAGAGAAAUUGCGGGUUCAUGAUAUUGAUGUGGUGAUAUGAAAAAGGUGUGAGUGAAUUAUUAUUAAUUCAUAUAGGUGUCGAUAUUAAGAGAUGUUGAACUUAUUAUUCAUCUAAUAAAAUAAAAAGGCAUGGUGAUGAUGUGUUAGCAUUUCUAUUCCUUGUUGAAAUCCUUGUGUUGAUUUGAGUCGGAGUUGCACGAUGGUUAAUUCCUACCAAUCCUAUCCCUCGGGGCAUGCAAGUAGUACUUUGAUUUAUGAUAAAACUAAUAAAAUUUGUAAUAGUUAUAUGAGUUAUUCAUAACUAUUGUGACACCAAGGACAUACACACUCUCACCUCCUCAUAUUUGCUAGCCUCUUCGGUACCAUGCAUCUCCCAUUCUCACCUUGAGGAUCGAUGCAACUUUCACUCGUGCAUCCAAACCCCGUGACAUGACACACUAUGUUGCACAUAAAACUUUUUAUAUCCUACUAAAAACAGCCACCAUACCUACCUAUCAUGGUAUUUCCAUAACCAUUCCGAGAUAUAUUGCCAUGCAAAUGCGAUCGUCACUUCACAUGACUAGUUCGUUCAUCAUUAUAAUGCAUUGCAUGAUAAGAUAGAGCUCACAUAGUAUUUGUGGAAAAUCCACCUUUCAUCAUGUUUUUGAUACAUGUCACGCUAGAUCUUUGCACAUCCCGGUACACUUCUAGAGGCAUUCAUUCAGACUCAUAUCGUCCUAUCAGUUUUCAUGUUGAGUUGUAAGUAAAUAAAAGUGUGAUGAUCAUCAUUAUUAGAGCAUUGUCCGAGUGAGGAAAUAAAAAACGGGGGAGGCCAAAUGAUACCACCAGAAUAAUAAAAAAAUGAACGAGAGAAAAAUAGAGAGGGGACUUUGCUACAAUCCUUUACCACACUUGUGCCUCAAAGUGGCACCAUGUUCUUCAUAUAGAGAGUCUCAUGUUAUAUCAUUCAUAUGCUAGUGGGAAUCACUUUUUCAUAAACUUGGCAUGUAUAUUCCAAUGACGGGCUUCCUCAAAUGCCUGAGGUAUUCAUGAGCAAGCAAGUUGGAUGCACACCCCAAUUAGCUUCACUGGAGCUUUCAUACACUUAUAGCUCUUGUGCAUCAUUUGCAUGGCAAUCCCUACUCCUCGCAUCGAUAUCUAUGGACGGGUAUCUCCAUAGCUCAUUAGUACGCCUAAUUGAUGUGUGACUAUCUUCUCCACUUUAACCCCUUUGAUACCACCAUAUUCUAUUUCACCUUUAUGCCAUGUCCAAUGGUUCAUGCUCAGGUAUUGCAUGAAGAAUAAAAAGUUGAUGCAUACUGAAAAGUACGAUCCAAUUGUGUGACUUGAACACCGUGGUGCUUGACAUUUGUAUUAAUGUGGUGAAGAUGGAGCCAUGCCUUGCUAAUAUAAUAAAGAUGGAUGGGGGGUAAAAUAAUCUUUGAGGAUCGUAUAGUUUGAAAGAUAAAUUAUUUCCUGCUUAUACCUAUAAGUAUUGCUAAGUUAAUGGUUGUUAACUCAUCAUUUCUAAGUUAGCAUACACGCAUAACGUUAGAUCAUGGAUAACAUGUCACAUCAUUUUUUUUGUUUUUAUCAUUUACCUACUCGAGGACAAGCAAGAAUUAAGCUUGGGGAUGCUUUAUACGUCUCCAAUGUAUCUAUAAUUUUUUUAUUGUUCCAUGAUGAUAUAUUAUCAUUCUAGAAUACUUUUGGGGUAUUUUUUUUACCAUUUUAUAUUAUUUUUGGCACUAACCUAUUGACCAUGUGCUGAGUGCUAGUUGCUGUUUUUGCGUGUUUUUCACUUUUCAAGUUUUCCAUACUAAACGAAGUCCAAUUUCCCUAAACCUUUUUGGUGAUUUUUUUCUGGACCAAAAUAAGACUAACGACCAAUGGAAGAAGGCUGAAAGUGUCACAUCCCUGGAUUCCCUCUUAGGGUUUAACAACUUGUGCGCACGUCUUCCUUCAUUGCAUUCAAGAAAUGGAAAUAACUCAAAAGAAGUGAUGAAAUCCAAAGCAAAACCCUAGCCACCUUUUAUUCAAAAGAAUUCCAACAAGUGCCAAAUGAAUGAACCCAAAAUGGCUAUUAGAAAAGUUCACCUUUUCUGAUAAAUGUUGAAAACAAAAUAUCAGAGAUGAGUUCAAACUAUCUUUGGCAUUUUAAUUUUAAGCUAAAAGCUACUAAAAUCAAUUUUAUAUUUGUUUUCAAAUAAUUCAAAAUUUCCAAAAAUGUUGAAAACUUUAUGAGUGGUUGGAAAUAUUCCAACUAAAACUUUGGUAUUUUUCAAACCAUUUUUAGGAAUAGUUUGGAGCCAAAAAUAAUUGAAACAAUAUCAGAUAGAAUAAAACAGAAAAUAGAAAGGAAAGAAAAUGGAAAAAACUAUCUAGCGCUUACCUGAGGCCCAACCCACCUUAGCCUGUCGUCUUCGUCCUGCCAAUCGGAGCAGGAGGUGGCCGCCGCGUUACUUGGUGCGCCCACGCAGCUGUGUGCCUGCCUGGCCACCACGUCGCGCUGGCUCGAACGGGGAUAAGGUCCCCGAGGCCUCCCCGAGAUCAUCCCCUCCCCAAUCGCCCUGCUCUCUUCUCUCUCUCUCGGCCUCCAUGACCGAAGCUUGAGCUCGAGCUCGCCGUCGCUCUAGCCCCUCUCCCUCUCUCCUGAGCCGCGCAACAGCUUCGCCGUGAUCCCCUGAAGCUCUCUAGCUAGUCGCUCCAUGCCGAGGAGCUAUGAAACGCCGUGACGCCAUCAUCUUCCUCCUUGGGUCACCGAAGCUUCGCCGCCGUCGUUCUCCCUCCUCAGGCCAUCCCCGCGCCCACUCUCGACGCCUCUGCACUCCCCGUGAGCUCAGGGUUCUUUCCCCUAAGUUUUCCCCCUCGAUCCCUUCCUCUAGACCCCGAUUCCACCGGAGCCCGACGAGAUCCGCUGCGGGACCUCGUCGCCGGUAGCUCUUCGGUGAAUGACUGGUCCAUCUGAGGCCACCAAUGGCUUCAGUGCGACGCGUAGGUGCUCUAGGAGCUAAGCCCCGCUCGUUUUCCCUUCGCUUUCGUCGAUCCCGACAUAGCCCGAGCUUCGGCCACCGCCAAGCUCGUCGCCGGCAUCAUCUCAGGCCAUCUUAGCCUCGGGUCUUUGCAGAAAUGGAACUGCGGCUGUGCGCUGGUUCGUUUGGUGCCCUCCACCGUGCAUUUGGUCGUCGGAGAUGCAUUUCCGAGCCCCUCCGCCGUUCUGGUGGUUGCCGGAGGCUCACCGCCGGCGAGAUCGACCUCACCGCUAGUGGAACUCACCCCCGGUGAGCCUAUGACAGGUGGGGCCAGCCCCUGGCUAAUUAAGUUUAGUAAAAAUAAAAAUAACUUAUUUAAUAAACUUAAACAGACACUCACAGGUGGGUCAUUCUCUUCUAAUUAACUAAUUAAGUUAAAUCUAAAUUAAAACUGGCCAGAGUCACUGACCAGUGGGUCCCACUCGUCAGGUUUGACUUUCAACAGCCAGUUGGACCUGCUGAUGUCAUGCUGAUGCAAUAAAAGCUUUUCUGUUUAAAAAUAAUUCCAGAAUAAGUUCAAAACUUUGGAAAUUCAUAGGAAUUUGAAUAUAACUCCAAAUUUGACAAAUAAUAUAUGUAAAUGGAUAAAAAAAAUCCAAGGAAUCCAAUGGUGCUAAUUUCAUGCAUGAAAAACAAAGUUAUGAAACAACAUCAGGUCAAAUCAAUUAAAAGAAUUGAUAAAUUAUAAUUCAAAUGAUAUUUGCAUUAUGGUUUCAAAUCAAGAUCACCCCAAAGGGUUCUGCUAGUCAUUUCAAACCAUGCUACAUUGCAUUUCAUGCAUCAUUUUGUUGCAUAUGUUUGAUAUUGAUUGAUUGUUGUUGUUCCGGUAGGCUCUGCCCCUCCGGAUACGUCUGAUUAUCCGACAGACGGAUAUCACCCCUGUGCUGAGCAACAAGGCAAGCAACCAUUUUGAUCAUCCCGAUAAAUCCCAUGAUCUGGCUCCUGCUCUUACUUAUUGCAUUAGGUCAAAAUGCUUUCACUGCUUUUAUCACGUUAGUUGAACCCACUUCCUUUGCAUCACCUAUCAUUGUCACAGUAAAUAGCUGAACCUUGCAACCUAGCAUACCUGGUAGAUGCUUGAGCCAUGAUGUGCCUUAUCCUGCUAUGCAUGUUAUGCUUAGAGUUGUGUAUGGUCUGUGAUCUGGGUGAUGAACAGGAUCGUGAGAAUGUGUUCAGUUGGUAAAGGUCGUGUGUUGAACCUGAUUUGGUAAAGGUACCGGUGAAAGGCUAUGUAGGAGUACAUGGCGGGUUGUUUCAUUGGAACCGUCCUUAGGAACUGAGUUCCGUGUAUGUAAUCCAAGACUAGAUACUACCACACGUUGGAUACUUAAUUGACCGCUCGACUUAUUAAUCGCUUAGUACUCGGUCCAGGAGUUGCAAGUAGUUUCUGGUGUUUAUAGUCAUGCUGGAGGCCGUGCGUAGCGCAGACCUUAGAGGUGGGCUAUGAUGCGGUAGGCAGUGGCACAGUGUACCAAGUGGCACCCGGAUGGUGGGCUUGGGAACCCUGCGCACGUCGUUUGGGGCCGUGGCAGAAACCUCGGCCGGACUUCCAUGCGGGUUGCCCUCAGAUAGGCGAUAGACCUCGACUAAGUAUUAGCGUGGUUAACGGUCGUGGCCGACUCCCUCGCUGGGCUUCCGCUUGAAGGUUGCCGAGGUGCAUGACGUGCACAUGGCGACAAGUGGCGAGAGCAUGUGUGAAGAAGUACCCCCUGCAGGGUUAUGAUCUAUUCGAAUAGUCGCGUCUGCGGAUAUGGACUACUUGGAAACAUAUGUUGUUCAUAGACAACUAUAACGGCUACUCAUAAAAUUGUCAAGAUAAGUGCGAGUGUCGUGGAUGGCAUUUCUGUAGGGUGACGGAAUGAGUCCACGAUGGAAUAUUGUUGUGGUGUUAGUNCUUAGUAGCACUCCUUACGGGGAAAUGCCCCUUUGAGAUUCCAUCGAGCCAUGGUAGUUCGCUACUGCUCCGGACACAUUGGUUGACCGGCAUGUGUCCUUCUUGGCUGCUGUGUCUGUCCCUUUGGGAAAUGUCACGCGUAUGUAAUGGAGUCCUUGUAGCUCUACGACUUGUCCACAUUCGUUGAUGACCGACACCUGCUUUGCUGGGUCAUGUAUGCUUGUCCCUGUACGGAACUGCCACUUUAGUUUAUGACUAGACAUGUCGAUCCGGGUUCUUUGACAUUGGAUUGCUAGCAACACAAUUGCAUACGCGAGUCAAAAGGCGCAAACGGUCCCGGCUAAGGUAAGGCUGCAGCCGUGGGGAUAACCUUGCAUGAGACCGCAAAGAGAUGCGAUGUGUUACAGGCUGGAUUCCUAUGGCUUAGGAUCGGGGUCCCGACAACGUUGGUAUGAGAGCCUGACUGACUGUAGGAUUACUAAGCCAAACUGGUCGAAGUUGAGUCUAGAAUUGCUUUAGUUAUACAUAAGGGAAUUGUUUGUGUAAGGGCAAGUAAGACUCUUGCUUCUCUUCUCAAUUUAUUCUAUUCUGGUCAGCCUCGUCUUUUCUGCAGGGAUUAAGAACUAGGUUACUUAUCUUUCUCUUAGGAUCGUGUGUUAUUGAUCGGUAGAUUAUAGGACAAUGAGUCGAGAGUUACUUUAGAAUUUCUUUUAUUCCAAGGAAAAGAAAGUAAGUUUUGAUGACCAUGGAAUUGAACUUGAUAGUUGAGUGGUUAUGCUAUCCUAUCUUUGUGGGAUGUCUCAAAAUUGUUUUUGAGCAUUUACAACCGUUAUGCUGCCCAAUUUUGUCUUCAGAGCUCUAAUGCUUGUUGCAUUAAUCUCUAUUUUCAGAUGCCUGGCCGUCCUUCUCGUCAGGUGGUCCGUCUGACUAGGUGCAUUGAUGUACCGGGUCACACGGCCAUGCUAGUCAGGAUGAUGUCAGUAUCCGGUUACCGCUGGUACCCAGAGUACACAGUGGAGGAGCAGUACCGGGAUUUUAAUCAGAGUCAGUACCUCUGCACUAUUAGGGUAUUCCCAGAUUACCCUGGAGCUGAGGAGCCGAUCCAUUGGUCUUAUGGAUUGGGGGUCACUGUUGACAUGGCAGUACAAGAUGCUGCCUAUUCAAUGCUGACCAUCAUGAGGGCCAGACAUGCACUGCUGCAGAAUUCAGAGUUUUGCUAUGUUCCUGCCUCUCAGCCAGGUGAAGAAGGAUACCUCAGUGGGGUCUACUUUGAUUCCUCUAUGGAGGAUCCGCUGCUGCGGUCCACUGCUGAGAUGCUAGAGAAUAGAGACAGGGAUGCUCAUGCCCUUCGUAUGGAGCUCUAUGCUACACGUUCCUAUCUGUGGACGGCUUUGACACAGUUGGCACCUGUAGUCCAGACAGGGUAUGGAGGUAUGGAGAUGCUGAACCCUGUUAUGACCCAUCUUCCGGCUCAUGUUGACUGGCCUGCUAUAGGAGGAGUCACCCCUCUUCGGGGACCUCUACUACCACCAGUCAGGGGACCAAGGCCACACCCGUGUCCUUACGAAUCCCAGGGAUCUCAGGCUCGAGUAUUUCCUAAUCCACAGGUUGAGCUCCCAAGUCAUGGAGGCAAUCUUUAUGAGAUGUUCUAUGCGGAUGCCUGAACCCGUGAGUGGAAGGAUAGUAUGGUAGUAGUUAUACUUCCACAGUCCUGUGUGUCUUCUGGAGUAUGCUUGUGUCGUGAGAUGAAUUCCGGAGGCAUAGAUAAAUAAUGUAUAGGAAGCCUGGAAAGCCUCCGAUGAGUAGUUUCAUGUUUUCAGUAGUUUGCUCUUCGGUUACGGUUGUACUGAACUAUGGAAUGGUGUGUAUGAACCAUGGUGUAGAUAUAGCAAUUGCUUGUUACCAUGUUGUUCGGAUGUUCAUUUCCGCAUUCCAUGUGUUCAGUGCAUUCUUAAUCCAUAGUUAGUGUUGAUGUUGAUAUUGGUCUAAGCUGUGAGUUUGUUUGUCAGGAUGGUGUUCACCAGGUUGAACCGUGCCCCUGCUCAUGAGCAAGGAGAGGGUAGUCAAGCAUCGCACGAGGAACUGCCUCACCCGCCCUCUCUGGCGGAAGUUAUGCUAGAGGCAGAGAGAAACAAAAGGGAGACCAACCGUCUGUUAGAGCGUAUUGAGAAAAAUACGGCUCGUCAGCCUAGGAAUGAUGUAGUGUCCCUCAAUGACUUUGUGAAGCUGAAUCCUCCAAAGUUCCAUCACUCCGUCGACCCCCUCGACGCUGAUGAUUGGUUGUGUAGUAUAUCGCACAAGAUUAUCUGUGCAAAUGUUUCCGAGGCCGACAAGGUAACCUUGGCGGCGUACUUUCUGGAAGGACCCGCCAAUCUAUGGUGGGAAAACUUUGAAGCUAUGCGUCCUGCUGAACCAGCAGCCACAUGGGCAGACUUUAGUGCAGCCUUCCAUUUGCACCAUAUUCCAGAGGUGUUGAUGGAUAGAAAGAGAGAGGAGUUCUGUGCAUUCACCCAGGGAAAAUUGACCGUGGAUGCCUAUAGCCGCGAGUUCGGUAACCUCACCCGCUACGCAACUGAAGAGGUGUCAACUGACGCCAAGAAGCAAGCAAGAUUCCGUAAGGGUCUGAGCCCUGAGCUUCAUCGUGAUUUGCGCCUCCACGAAUGUACAAGCUUUCAAGCUCUUGUCAACAAGGCGAUCAGUGUCGAGACUGGUCAUACCGAUUAUGAAGCCAUAAAGAAGCACUCCCGCGACUCUGGCUCGUCAUUUGGUUCCGCGUUCCCGAAACGCAGGCUGUGGGUUCCAAAUAGUUCUCUGCCGCCAAGAUACACUCCGAGGCCAUCAUAUGGGGUGCCUCAGACGAAUCAGACCAACCCUCCAGCAAAAACCUAUGGUGGCCCAACUAGCAAUGCUGCACCACGUGCCAAUCAGGUGAUCUGUUACAAGUGUGGAGAACCAGGGCACUAUCCCCGAGAGUGUCCUCAGAAUAUGGGUGCCAAGCAACCUGGAAAGUCCGUUGGGCAAGGCAAGUCGGGCAAAGCUUACUACAUGAAGCCAACUCCUGCACGUGGCCGUGUGAACUACGUUUCAGCAGAAGAAGCUACACAUGAUCCCGACGUCAUACUCGGUAAACUCCUUGUUAAUCAACAACCAUCGUCUGUUCUUUUUGACACUGGGUCAUCUCAUUCCUUCAUUUCAGAAAGUUAUGCACAGUUGCAUAACAUGUAUUUCUAUGAUAUUCCAAUCCCAUUGGUUGUCCAAACCCCUGGUAGUAAGUGGCAAACCUCCAGGAUAACCUAUGACAAUGAAAUUCUAGUAGACAGGCUAGUUUUCCUAGCAUCUUUGAUAGCCCUGAAAUCUUCGGAUAUCAAUAUCAUCUUGGGUAUGGACUGGAUGUCAGCUCACUAUGCCAAGAUUGAUACUCAUUCUAGAAAUGUUGAGUUUACCCAUCCCUCGGGUGAGAUAGUCAAUGUCUCUACUCGAGUUGCCAAAUGCCAACUCUAUUCCCUCAAUGCCAACCCUCUUCCAGAACUUGAAGACAUUCCGGUAGUCCGUGACUUCCCGGAUGUUUUUCCAGAGGAACUGUGAGGAAUUCCACCUGACACAGAUGUAGAGUUUGUGAUAGACCUUGUUCCGAGAACCGUUCCAAUAGCCAGAAGACCUUAUAAGAUGGCACCCCUAGAGCUAGCAGAACUUAAGAAGCAAUUAGAUGAGGCCUUGAAUAAAGGUUUCAUUCGUCCUAGCUCUUCUCCUUGGGCUUCUCCCGUCCUCUUUGUUAAGAAGAAAGACGGAACGGAUCGGAUGGUUGUAGAUUAUCGACCAGUUAACCUGGUCACCAUAAAGAACAAGUAUCCGCUCCCCAGGAUCAACGAUCUGUAUGAUCAGCUCGCUAGAUCCUCAGUCUUCUCCAAAAUAGAUUUGAGGUUGGGAUACCAUCAAAUCAAGAUUAAGAACGGGGACAUCCCAAAAACGGCUUUUGUCACUCGUUAUGGCCAAUACGAGUACACCGUUAUGUCCUUCGGUUUAACCAAUGCCCCAGCCACUUUCUCUCGCUUGAUGAAUUCAAUCUUCAUGGAGUAUUUGGAUAAAUUCAUCGUAGUAUACCUCAAUGAUAUUCUCAUCUACUCGAAGAAUGAACAAGAACAUGCCGAGCAUCUAAGGCUGGUAUUGAUGAAACUUCGAGAGCAUCGCCUUUAUGCCAAGUUUUCAAAAUGUGAAUUUUGGUUACCAUAAGUGACCUAUCUAGGCCACGUAAUCCCUGGUAAGGGUAUUGCUGUCAAUCCCGAGAGAGUUCUAGCUGUCCUUGAUUGGACUCAACCUGAAUCGGUUAGGCAAGUUAGGAGUUUUCUUGGUCUAGCGAGCUAUUGUCGCCACUUUGUCGAGAAUUUCUCCAAGGUUGCAAAGCCUCUAACUGAGCUCCUCAAGAAAGAUAAAAAUUUCGAGUGGACACCAUAGUGUGAGCAUAGUUUUCAGUAACAAAAAAGACGCCUGACUUCCGCACUUGUGUUGCUACCAACAGAUUUCUCCAAGGACAUUGUUAUCUACUGCGACGCCUCACGACAAGGAUUAGGUUGCAUUCUCAUGCCAGAUUGUCAUGUGAUUGCAUACACAUCUCGACAGUUGCGUCCACAUGAGGAUAAUUAUCCCACACAUGAUCUUGAGCUUGCAGCACUAGUCCAUGCACUUAAAACCUGGCGACAUUACCUUCUUGGUAAUCGUUGCGAAAUAUUCACUGAUCACCAAAGUCUUAAAUAUAUCUUCACCCAGCCAGAUUUGAAUCUCAGGCAAAGAUGGUGGGUUGAGUUGAUCACGGAUUACGACUUAGGGAUAACUUACACCUAGGGCAAGGCCAAUGUUAUGGCUGAUGCACUAAGUCGUAUAUCUUAUUGUAACAAUUUGAUGCUACAACAAGGUCAACCACAUCUCUAUGAGGACUUUCGGAAGUUGAAUCUUCAUAUUGUUCCUCAAGGAUUCCUUUCUACCCUGGUGGCGAAGCCUACCCUUAAGGAUCAAAUUAUAGCUGGCCAGAAGCGUGACAAGGGUAUAUCACGGAUCAAGGAGAAUAUUAUUAGCGGAAACGCUAAAGAAUUUUCCAUGAAUGAUCAAGGUGUUGUGUUCUUCCAGAAUCGUCUAGUGGUUCCUAAGAACCUACAUCUAAGGCAGUUAAUUCUUAAGGAGGCUCAUGAUUCUCCUCUCACCAUUCAUCCUGGUAGUACUAAGAUGUAUCAGGACCUACUCCAGAGGUUUUGGUGGACUAGGAUGAAGAGAGAAAUUGCUGAGUUCGUUGCUAACUGCGAGGUUUGUCAUCAAGUUAAGGCAGAACAUCAAAGGCCUGCUGGCACCCUUCAACCUUUAGCUAUUCCUGAAUGGAAAUGGGAUAAAGUCAUUAUGGAUUUCAUCACCGGAUUUCCCAAGACCAAGAAAGGAAAUAAUGCUAUCUUUGUGGUCAUUGACCGUCUUUCCAAAGUAGCUCAUUUUCUUCCAGUUCGUGAGAGUAUAACAACUAGCCAGCUAGCAGAGUUAUAUAUCCCCCGAAUAGUGUCUCUUCAUGUUGUUCCUCUAGAGAUUAACUCAGACCGUGGAAGUAUCUUUACUUCUCACUUCUGGGAGAGUUUUCAGAAUGCCAUGGGGACUCACUUAUCUUUUAGCACUGCUUUCCAUCCUCAAUCAAGUGGUCAAGUAGAAAGAGUGAAUCAAGUCCGAGAAGAUAUGCUCCGAGCUUGUGUUAUAUCAUUCGGUAUGAAUUGGGAGAAGUGCCUUCCAUUUGCCGAAUUUUCCUAUAACAAUAGUUAUCAAUCAAGCUUGGGCAAAGCUCCUUUUGAAGUUCUCUAUGGACGAAGAUGUCGAACACCUCUUAAUUGGUCAGAAACCGGAGAGAGGCAACUCUUUGGUCUGGAUAUGAUCCAGGAUGCAGAAGAGCAAGUUCGCAUUAUUCGUGAAAAGUUGAAAACAGCCCAGUCUCGUCAAAAGAGCCAAUAUGAUCGUCAUCAUAAGGCCGUGAUCUUUGAAGUUGAUGAGAAGGCUUACCUUCGGGUUACACCUUUCAGGGGUACCCAUCGAUUCGGUAUCAAGGGCAAGUUGGCUCCUCGUUACAUUGGUCCUUUUCGCAUUCUUGCCAAACGAGGAGAAGUUGCCUACCAAUUGGAACUUCCUCCGCAUCUCUCCAAGGUUCAUGAUGUAUUCCAUGUCUCGCAACUGAGGCGUUGCUUUUCAGAUCCUAUCCGCGAAGUGGACCACGAAACGCUUGAUCUCCAAGAUAACCUUUCAUACCGAGAAUACCCUGUGCGUAUUCUUGAUCAAGCUGAGCAUACCACUCGACGUCAAAACCUCAAGUUUCUUAAAUUUCAAUGGUCAAAUCAUUCUAAAAAAGAAGCAACAUGGGAAAGAGAGGAUCGUCUCCGACUUGAGUAUCCCGCGCUAUUCCUCACGACUUCCAAAUCUCGGGACGAGAUUCUUUUGAGUGGGGGUGAGUUGUCACAUCCCUGGAUUCCCUCUUAGGGUUUAACAACUUGUGCUCAUGUCUUCUUUCAUUGCAUUCAAGAAAUGUAAAUAACUCAAAAGAAGUGAUGAAUCCAAAGCAAAACCCUAGCCACCUUUUAUUCAAAAGAAUUCCAACAAGUGCCAAAUCAAUGAACCCAAAAUGGCUAUUAGAAAAGUUCACCUUUUCUGGUAAAUGUUGAAAACAAAAUAUCAGAGAUGAAACUUAUUUUCAAACUAUCUUUGGCAUUUUAAUUUUAAGCUAAAAGCUACUGAAAUCAAUUUUAUAUUUAUUUUCAAAUAAUUCAAAGUUUCCAAAAAUAUUGAAAACUUUAUGAGUGGUUGGAAAUAUUCCAACUAACACUUUGGUAUGUUUCAAACCAUUUUUAGGAAUAGUUUGGAGCCAAAAAUAAUUGAAACAAUAUCAGAAAGAAUAAAACAGAAAAAAGAAAGGAAAGAAAAUGGAAAAAACGAUCUAGCGCUUACCUGAGGCCCAGCCCACCUUAGCCUGUCGUCUUCCUCUUGCGAGUUGAUGGGGUUAUAGUCCUAGGGUAGGGUCAUAGGCCUGCCCUAUAGGUCCUACCCAAGGACUACCCUUCAUAAGGGACAAGGCCCUUAGUCAGUUCCGACUGAAUUAAGGACUUCCCAUCAUCCAGUCGGUGACGAUUCCUCCAUCAUCUAAUUAGAGAUGAGCAUUCGGAGUGUAUCAAACUUACUGACUGGAUUCCACUCUGUACAGUGUAACCCCCCCUGAAGGGCAACGGUCAUACGUUUUCAUGUACCUUUAUUAGCAUUUAAGGCAUACGUUACCUGUAACGUAGACAUUUCAUCGCCACUACUCCACCCCUGUGCAUCGAACCGUUGUGAAGGGCAGCGCACUCUAUAUAAGUCGCCCUUGCCCACUGGUGCAGGGGUUAGCAAUUCACUGUAAUCCAUAUUCCACUCGACAUCAAGCUCCCAAGCAUCUACAGCUGGGCAGAUCUGGCCCGAGUCUUCAUCAGGACCUUCGAGGGGACGUGCAAACGCCCUGCUGGUCUCGUGGAGCUCCAACACUGUGUCCAGAAGCAGAAUGAGCCCCUGCGUGAUUUCAUCCAGCGUUGGACAACCCUCUACCACACGGUGGAGAACGUCACAGAGCACCAAGCAGUCUGCACCUUCAAGGCAGGCGUGCGAUACAGAGAUCUGUACCUGAAGUUCGGUCGAACAGGCGACAUCUCGAUGAGCAAGAUGAUGGAGAUAGCGGCACGCUAUGCAAAUGGCGAAGAAGAGGACCGCAUUCGUAGCGGCAAGCACAAGGCAGCCGCCGAUGGAGAUGGGAACAACACUCGGAAGCAGAAGCAAAAAGCUCCGUCCACUCCGCAGGCAGAGGCCGCAGCCGUUACCAAUGCCAAGUUCAAGGGCAAGGGGAAGGCUCAGUUCACCCCCAAGAAGAAGCAGUUCGGAAACCACAUCCUGGACCAGCCAUGUCGAAUCCACACGAAGAUGGAUGAAGAGGGCAACGCCAUAUUUCCGAAGCAUACCACUCGGCAAUGUCGCCUCCUGAUCUAGGGGUUCGGCGAAGGGCAGCCGAGUGAAAAGGACAAUGAACAGGAUGAGGAGGACAAGGAGGAUUCGUUCCCCCAAGUCCAUGCAACACUGAUGAUUUUUGCUGACGUUGAAAGCAAGAGUCGACUGAAGCUGGUGAACACGGAGGUGAACAUGGCCACCCCGACCAACCCCACGUUCCUAAAAUGGUCUCAGACCGCGAUCACUUUUGACCAGUCGGAUCAUCCAGCACACGUACCCACCCCAGGGAGGCAGGCCCUGGUCGUCGACCCGGUGGUGGGAGGAGUCCGACUGCGCAAAGUCCUCAUGGAGGGCGGCAGCGGCUUGAACAUCAUGUACGCUGACACUCUCAAGGGGAUGGGCAUUCCGAUGUCCAAACUUAGCGAGAGCAGCAUGCAGUUCCAUGGAGUCGUCCCCGGAUGAAAGGCCAAGUCUCUCGGUCAGAUCGCGUUGGACGUCGUCUUCGGCUCCGACAAGAACUUCCGCAAGGAAAAACUGAUGUUCGAGGUGGUGGACUUCCAGAGUGCGUACCACGCGAUUCUGGGCCGCCUGGCGUAUGCGCGUUUCAUGGCCCAUCCAUGUUACGUGUACCUGAAGCUGAAGAUGCCAGGCCCAAAAGGUGUGAUCACUAUCACAGGCAAUCGGCAGUGGGCCUAGGAGUGUUUGCAGCAGGGAUCGAGGAUCGCCGAUCAGCAGAUGGCUGUCCUCGAGCUUGACGAGUACAAGAAGACAGUCGACCCCACUGACCUGAUGCGUUCGAAGAAGCCAGCUUCGGAAUCCGCAUUCCAGUCGGCGGGAGAAACGAAGAAGGUCAGCAUCCAGCCGACAGACGACGCCGCUGCCCCGACGAACAUCUCCACCACCCUCGAUCCUAAAUAGGAAGCCGAGCUCAUCCAAUUCCUCCGUGAGAACUGGGACAUUUUCGCAUGGAAGCCUGCUGACAUGCCAGGUGUACCCAGGGAGUUGGCUGAGCACCGACUGCAUGUGGAUCCUGCUGCUCGGCCCGUCCGAGAACGCCCGCGUCGGUCCGCCGCACACAAGAGGAAGGCAAUCCGAGAAGAAGUGGCUAAGCUUUUGGCAGCCAACUUCAUUCGCGAGGUACACCACUCCGAGUGGCUCGCCAAUGUUGUCAUGGUGCCCAAGAAGGACAAGUCUCUCCAAAUGUGCAUCGACUUCAAGCAUCUCAAUAAGGUCUGCCCGAAAGACCAUUUCCCGCUCCCUCGCAUCGAUCAAAUUGUCGAUUCGACUGCGGGUUGCGAGCGCUUGUCUUUCCUUGAUGCCUACUCGGGCUAUCAUCAGAUACGUCUGUAUGGCCCCGAUGAAUUAAAAACAGCCUUCAUCACCCCAUUCGGGUGCUUCUGCUACAUCACUAUGCCAUCUGGUUUGAAGAAUGCAGGAGAAACCUUUAUGCGCAUGAUCCAAAAAUGCCUCCUUGACCAGAUCGGUCGAAAUGUGGAGGCGUAUAUGGAUGAUAUCGUAGUCAAGUCACGCAAAGGUUCCGACCUGCUGACUGACUUGGCAGAAACAUUCGCCAACCUUCGUAGAUACGAUAUCAAGCUCAACCCAGCCAAGUGUUCAUUCGGUGUUCCCAGUGGAAAGUUACUCGGUUUCUUCGUUUCCGAACGAGGGAUCAACGUCAACCCCGAAAAGAUCGGGACCAUCGUCCGAAUGGAGCGGCCGGUCAGAAUACACGAUGUUCAAAGGCUCACAGGUUGCCUAGCGGCUUUGAGCAGGUUUAUCAGUCGACUCGGCGAGAAGGCACUUCCUCUGUACCGACUCAUGAAGAAAUCAGAUACUUUCGAGUGGACAGACGAAGCCCAAAUCGCAUUCGAUGACCUCAAAGUCCUACUUUCCACCCAGCCGGUUCUUAUUGCUCCGCUCAGUAAAGAACCCCUUCUUCUGUACAUCGCGGCUACAAAUCAAGUCGUCAGCACUGUUCUCACAGUCGAACGCGAAGAAGAAGGCAAAGCAUACAAGGUUCAGCGGCCAGUGUAUUAUGUCUCCGAAGUCCUGACUCCUUCCAAGCAGAGGUAUCCCCACUAUCAAAAACUUAUCUACGGGAUUUACAUGACUGCGAACAAGGUGACUCAUUAUUUCCAAGACCACUCGGUGUCUGUCGUUUCUGAUGCUCCGUUAUCGGAAAUCCUCCACAAUUGGGAUGCAUCGGGCCGAGUGGCGAAGUGGGCGAUGGAGAUGUUAUACUGCGACAUCAAGUUCGAGGCCAAGAAAGCUAUAAAGUCUCAAGCUCUGGCUGACUUCAUAGCAGAAUGGGUAGAACAACAGCAACCGACCCACAUCUACUCGGCUCAUUGGACAAUGUUCUUCGAUGGGUCCAAGAUGUUGAAUGGCUCCGGCGCUGGCGUUGUGAUCAUAUUGCCAAAGGGUGACAAACUCAAGUAUGUGUUGCAGAUACACUUCGAUUCCUCCAACAAUGAGGUAGAAUAUGAGGCUCUCCUUUAUGGAUUGCGCAUGGCCAUCGCACUCGGCGUCCGCCGCCUGAUGGUCUACGGCGAUUCAGGUUUGGUAGUUAAUCAAGUGAUGAAGGAGUGGGAUGUAAGGAACCCCACCAUGACCACAUACUGUAAUGCAGUAAGGAAGCUUGAGAAAAAGUUUGAAGGUCUGGAACUCCACCAUGUUCCGUGACUGAAAAACCAAGCAGCUGAUGAAUUGGCGAAACUUGGAUCCACUCGGAGACCAGUCCCGAGUGACGUAUGCCUCGAGCACCUUCACCUUCCCUCAGUUAAAGAAGAUGCUUUCACAGAGGAACCAGUACAACCAAAGAGCUCGACAGAUCUGACUGAAGUCGAAGUCCCUGCUGUGGUCGAUUUGAUCAUGGAUAUUCUUGCUAUCAUCCCCGAUUGGACUGUGCCGUUCAUUGCAUACAUCCUGAGGCAAGAAUUACCAGAAGACGAAGUCCAAGCCAGACAGAUCGUCCGUAGGUCAAAGUCGUUCACCGUCAUUGAUGGCCAGUUGUACAAGGAAAGCGUUUCAGGCGUCCUUCAACGAUGCAUCUCCCCUGAGGAGGGACAGUUAAUCCUGGAAGAAAUUCACUCGGGAACCUGCGGUCAUCACGCCUCCUCAAGGGAAAUCGUCGCCAAAGCAUUCAGAGCUGGUUUCUUCUGGUUGCAGGCGAAUGAAAUGGCGAAGGAUAUGGUCGACAGAUGCGAAGGCUCUCAGUUCUACUCGAACAAAUUCCACAAGCCAACAUCCGCGUUGAAGACAAUCCCUCUUGUUUGGCCGUUUGCAGUGUGGGGAUUAGAUACAGUCGGUCCAUUCAGGACAGGCAAAGGGGGAUUCACACAUCUGUUGGUGGCAGUCGACAAGUUCACAAAGUGGAUUGAAGCCAAGCCCAUCAAGAAGCUCGACGCCCUUACAACCAUCAAGUUUGUCAGAGACAUCAUCUCCAGAUUCGGGGUACCACACAACAUAAUCACUGAUAAUGGCACAAACUUUGACUCGGACAGAUUCAAAGGUUUCUGUACAAGACAAGGUAUCCGAGUGGAUUUUGCAUCUGUGGCACAUCCCCAAACAAACGGGCAAGCAGAGCGGGCGAAUGGACUUAUUCUGCAAGGUUGAAGCCUCGACUCCCGCGAGAAGUGGGACAUGCUGCCGGCGCAUGGGUCACCGAACUGCCUUCGGUGCUGUGGGGUCUCCGCACAACCCCAAAUAGAUCUACAGGGCGAUCCCCGUUCUUCCUCGUUUACGGAGCAGAGGCGGUCCUUCCGAGUGAUUUGCUUCACAAUGCUCCACGAGUUGAACUCUUCUCCGAAGCCGAAGCAGAGCAAGCAAGGCAACACAGAGUGGAUCUUCUAGAGGAGGAGCGCGAGAUGGCACUGACUCGCUCAACCAUUUAUCAACAAGAUCUGCAGCGUAUUCACGCGCGACACGUCAGGAGUCGUACAUUCCAAGCAGGCGACCUGGUGCUCCGAGUGGAUCAGCAGAGACCUCACAAGUUAGCUCCCGCCUGGGAAGCACCCUUCAUCAUCUCCAAGGUGCUGAACAACGGAGCAUAUCGGCUCUACAACCUCGACAGGGAAACGGACGAGCCGCGAGCAUGGAAUGGAGAUCUCCUGAAGCGCUUCUACACGUGACCGUCGACGGAAGCAAUGUAAAGAACAAGUAUCGUUGAAGUAAUACAAAGCAGAUUGAGUUUUUGCAGAUUCAAAAUUCUUCCGCGUUCGCAGACUCCGGUCUCAAAAAAAAAACUUAGCUGCGAUCCAGAAUCGCCCGAGUACAAACUUUCUCCGAGUGUGCACUAAACGUCACACUCGGGGACUUAGCUCCGAUCCAGAAUCGCCUAAGUACAAUCUUUCUCCGAGUGUGCACUAAACGUCACACUCGGGAACUUAGCUGCGAUCCAGAAUCGCCCGAGUACAAACUUUCUCCGAGUGUGCACUAAAACGUCACACUCGGUGACUUAGCUGCAAUCCAGUAUCGCCUAAGCAACAACUUUCUCCGAGUGUGCUCUAAACGCCGCACUCGGAGACUUGUCUGCGAUCAAGAAUCGCCUAAGUAAAAAGCUUCCUUCGAGUGUAUCUUAGAGAUCCACUCGGAGGCUUAGUAGACCCUCAUUGAGGCUCAUGUAGAUGUCAAGACAACUGACAAUUACAUGAGUAGCAGACCCUCAAUGAGACUCAUGUAGAUGUCAAGACAAUUGACAAUUACAUGAGUAGCAACUCGCUCCGAGUGCGACCUCACGGUCGCGCUUUAAGACUUAGCUGCGAUAACGAAUCGCUUAAGUAAAGAACUCCCUUCGAGUGUAUCCUAGAGAUCCACUCGGAGGCUUAGCAGACCCUCACUGAGGCUCAUGCAGAUGUCAAGACAACUAACAAUUACAUGCUCCGCAUGUUUGCCAUUGGCUUCACCAAGAAACGCCAAACAAAAACCACGAGCCAAAAUCGUGUCAACAAUUCUUUGGCAAAGGAAGAGCAAAAUAUUCGGUUCCAAUUCAAAGUUGGUUUAAAGAUAGUCGGUUCGGUGUAGACCAAGCUUAUCCACAUCGAACCAGGAAUGUGACGGCCAACAACAGUGGCCAAAGUUUGAUACAAGUAACACUCGGCAUACCGAAGUAAAAGUUUUCUCAAGCGUUGUCACGACUGGCACUGGCAGGGUCCACGAAAGUGUCGAGGUCGAUCCCGUCUGCGAUGCGAGUGGUGCUCUCAAGGAAGGUCUCCAUGAAAUCUUCGAAUCGAAGCUUCUUGGUGUUGGUGACCUGCAGCGCCUUUAGCUUCUCUUCGCGAGCCUCCUUGCAGUGCACUCGGACCAGCGACAGCGCCACAUCCGCACCACAGCGAGCAGCAGACUUCUUCCACGCCUGCACUCGGUUCGGGACGUCCUCCAGCCAAGUCACCAACCCUUCCAUCUCUUGCCGGGACUCAUCUUCGGGCCACAGCUCCUUGUCGAUUCGGCCGACGACCUCUCUCAGUCGACCGAUGAAAGGUCCCACUUUGCCCAGGCGAAUGUGCGCUCGGAGCAUGUCUUGAUUGGCGUCCUCGCCGAGUGGAACGUUCAGAAUAACCGACCGCUGAACGUCAGCUGCUUCAGCCUCAGCGUCCAUACAAAAAUCUGCAAAGACAAGACGAGCAGAAAGUAAGCUGAAAGGAUGUGGAUGUCGCCUAGAGGGGGGGUGAAUAGGCGCUUUAAAAUAAUUAAGGUUUAGGCUAUCCAAAUGCGGAAUAAAACUAACGUUUAAUUGUUGGAAUUAUGCCCUANNNNNNNNNNNNNNNNNNNNNNNNNNNNNNNNNNNNNNNNNNNNNNNNNNNNNNNNNNNNNNNNNNNNNNNNNNNNNNNNNNNNNNNNNNNNNNNNNNNNNNNNNNNNNNNNNNNNNNNNNNNNNNNNNNNNNNNNNNNNNNNNNNNNNNNNNNNNNNNNNNNNNNNNNNNNNNNNNNNNNNNNNNNNNNNNNNNNNNNNNNNNNNNNNNNNNNNNNNNNNNNNNNNNNNNNNNNNNNNNNNNNNNNNNNNNNNNNNNNNNNNNNNNNNNNNNNNNNNNNNNNNNNNNNNNNNNNNNNNNNNNNNNNNNNNNNNNNNNNNNNNNNNNNNNNNNNNNNNNNNNNNNNNNNNNNNNNNNNNNNNNNNNNNNNNNNNNNNNNNNNNNNNNNNNNNNNNNNNNNNNNNNNNNNNNNNNNNNNNNNNNNNNNNNNNNNNNNNNNNNNNNNNNNNNNNNNNNNNNNNNNNNNNNNNNNNNNNNNNNNNNNNNCGGAGAACUCUUCUACCUAUCCGUCUCUCUUGCUGGAUCAAGAAGGCCAAGAUCAUCGUCGAGCUGUACGUGUGCUGAACGCGGAGGUGCCGUCCGUUCGGUACUAGAUCGUGGGACUUGAGGACGUUCCACUACAUCAACCGCGUUCACUAACGCUUCUGCUGUACGAUCUACAAGGGUACGUAGAUCACUCAUCCCCUCUCAUAGAUGGACAUCACCAUGAUAGGUCUUCAUGCGUGUAGGAAUUUUUUUGUUUCCCAUGCGACGUUCCCCAACAUUAAUAUGUCAAGCACAAAACCUACAAACAACUAGGCUCACCUAUGUGCACCAACAACUUAUGCUAAGCAAGAUAAACAACUAAGUGAUAGCAAGAUAUAUUACAAUAAACAAUAUGUAUAUCACAAAGUAAAGUGCAUAAGUAAAGGGUUCGGGUAAGAGAUAACCGAGGCACGGGGAGACGAUGAUGUAUCCCGAAGUUCACACCCUUGCGGAUGCUAAUCUCCGUUAGAGCGGUGUGGAGCCACAAUGCUCCCCAAGAUGCCACUAAGGCCACCGUAAUCUCCUCACGCCCUCGCACAAUGCAAGAUGCCGUGAUUCCACUAAGGGACCCUUGAGGGCGGUCACCGAACCCGUACAAAUGGCAAACCUUGGGGGCGGUCACCGAACCCGUACACGUGGCAACCCUUGGGGGCGGUUACCGGUACCCGUACAAAUUGCUCGGGGCUAUCUCCACAACCUAAUUGGAGGCCCCGACGCUUGCCCGGAGCUUCACACCACAAUGAUUGAGCUCCGAGACACCACCAAGCUUCUAGGAUGCCAAAGCAUCCACGAAGAACAAUAUCUAGGGUACUAAGUACCAAAGGUAGUAAGCUUCUCAACUUCUCACUUCCACGUAUCACCGUGGAGAACUCAAACCGAUGCAACUAAUGCAAUGGCAAGAACACACGAAGUGGUCAAGUCCCUCACACUCAAAUCCCUCCACAACAACAAAAGCUAUGGAUAAAUAUGAGAGGAAGAACAAGGAGCUCACAAAGAACUCCAAGAUCAAGAUCCAAGGGGUUCCCCUCACAUAGAGGAGAAAGUGAUUGGUGGAGAUGUGGAUCUAGAUCUCCUCUCUCUUCUCCCUCAAGAACAAGCAAGAAUCAUUGGAGGGAUUGAGAGUAAGCAAGAUCUAAGAAUGUCAACAAUGGAGGUAGAACAAGAGCUCAACGGAUGGAUAAAACCAAGGGGGAAGAAGACCCCCUUUAUAUAGUGGGGGAAGGAAUCAGACCGUUACCCCCACUUUCUGCCCGAGCUCCAGCGGUACUACCGCUGGCACUCUAGUGGUACUACCGCUGGCUGCAGCGGUACUACCGCCAGCUAGCGGUACUACCGCUGGCACUCCAGCGGUACUACCGCUGGGCCCCUGGUAGUGCAAAGGCACUACCACCGCCAAGAAAGUCUUCGCAAAAAGGUCCGUCCACGAACAACCGCUAGGCAGGCGGUACUAAGCUACUGGAGCGGUACUACCGCUCACCAGGGGCGGUACUACCGCCAGCCAGCGGUACUACCGCCAACUCUAGCGGUACUACCGCUAGGUCCAGCGGUACUACCGCUCGCCACUGAAACAACCAUAACUUUCGCAUACGAGCUCCGAAUCGAGCGAACCCAAGCUUGUUGGAAAUCUUAAGACCAUGCAGAUAUGAAAAUGCCAAUGAUAUAGAGAUGUGAGAUCCCUAUGAAUGAAGAACCGGCAAAAACUCCAACAUCGAAAACAUCAUAGUAGAUGCAUAUGGACUCCGUUUUCGAUGAACUCGAGCUUGUCACGAAGAUGACCAUAAGCUCUAAAACUCACAAAGAGAAACACCAAACAAGAACCAAGAAGUAUGAUGCAAGGAUGCAAAUGGUUUGAGCUCUCAACGAAUGAUACGAUCAAGCUACUCACUUGAGAGCCCCCUUGAUAGUAGAACAAUCUAUCCUAACCAGAAAACCUAUCAAGGGCAAACCUAUACCUUGCACCUCGUCCUCUUGAGCUAGAUGAUGAUGAUCUUGGCUUCCUCAAGAUGGACCACCUUUCUUGAUUGCUUUGGCUUGAUGAAGACUAGUUGAUUGCUCCCCCAUACUCACUAUGGGUGAGCCACUCUUCAGCAUAUCUUCACAAGUCCAUUGCCACCACAAUGGACGGCAAGCUUCAAGCAUGCUAUCUUCGUGCUGAUCCACUUGAACUUGCACAUCGCAAUCUUGAUGACGAUCACAACUUGACGUCAUACUCCAUGGGUUGUAUGAGAUCUUCCCUUUGACGCAAGCCCAUGGAAACACACCUAACCCCCACAUAGAACUCUCACGAAGACCAUGGGUUAGUACACAAACACGUAAUGGACAAUUCUUACCAUACCAUGGGAUCACUUGAUCCCUCUCGGUACAUCUUGUACGCUUUGUGUGUUGAUCAUCUUGAUUUACUCUUUGUCUGAGAUCUUGAUCAACCAUUGAUGAUGAUCACAACUUGACGUCAUACUCCAUGGGUUGUAUGAGAUCUUCCCUUUGACGCAAGCCCAUGUAAACACACCUAACCCCCACAUAGAACUCUCAUGAAGACCAUGGGUUAGUACACAAACACGUAAGGGACAAUGCUUACCAUACCAUGGGAUCACUUGAUCCCUCUCGGUACAUCUUGUACGCUUUGUAUGUUGAUCAUCUUGAUUUACUCUUUGUCUGAGAUCUUGAUCAACCAUGUGUCUCUAUGACCAUUCUUUGGAUAAUACCUUGAAUACCAUCUUGGUCAUCAUAUAAACUCCUUGAACCCAACAGAUGGACUUCAAGAAGUGCCUAUGGACAAAUCCUAUAAAUGUAACUUAAGGCAACCAUUAGUCCAUAGGAAUUGUCAUCAAGUACCAAAACAACAUAUGGAGAUAUAUGCUCCAACAUAAGCGCAGAAUGAAAUACACAGUCAAGAAGCACUCGGAAAAACAGAACUUACCACCGAAAAGCGCAAUCAUCUUCCUUGCCCAGUCACUGACGUACUUCUCCUGUGAUAUGCACCGCCUGUUCAUCACCUUCAUCUGUCCCAUCAGCUCGGUUCUUUGUUUCCCCAUUUUCUCCAUUUCGGCCACCAAUGCCUUGUUUGCCUCACGGGAUUCCUCCAAGGACUUCUCUCGUUCAGCCAGAGCGCCCUUCACACCAGCCAAGUCAUGAACAGCUGCCUCCAGUUCCGCAACAAGCUGAAUCUUUUCAGCCUUCAGAGCAUUGUACGCUGAUCCCAUCUCGCAAGUCUUCUGCAAAUCAGCACGAAGGGAAGAUCAGACAAAUUCAACAAGGAAAACAAUAAAAGCUCGAAGUUCUUCAGACCCCUGCCGACGCAAGCAGUCGACAGCGACCUCGGGGACUACACCCAGUGGGUUCACUAAGAGUGACCCCACUGCCAUGAAGCUCAAACAGGUCCGCCCUAUUGAGUUAAAUAACAAAAACAAGCCUAUGAGGCUACUACUACCCGACCUGAGUAAAAUUACUCUCAGGGACUACUUCCAGUAGGUGCACUCGGAGUGCCCCCACCGGUAACAUUCAAACAGAUUAGUUUUUCUCUGAUCAAGCUAAAGAAAAUGUAUAUAAAGACACCUGCCGGUGCAAGCACUCGACAGAAGUCUCGGGGACUACACCCAUUGGGUUCACUAAGAGUGAACCCACUGCAAAAUAAUCGUACCGCAUCCGAGUAUAUUGCUUAAACACCCACUGGGUUACAAGAGGAAAGUAAAUACUUACUAGCCCACUUACUCGGAUAUCGUCCCGGAGUUCCAAGAUUCGCUUGUACACAAACGCGAUGGAGUCGUACGCUCUCUUGGCAUCACCCGCCAUCAACUCCGCCUGCACCAUGGCCCCCUUGGCAGCUCCCACCUGAUCUUCCGGGAGGCGUUGGGCGUCGUACUGGACGGUCGACGGACCUGGCACCACAAGAGACUCCUUGGGCAUCCCAAGUCCUGCUCCAGUCGGUUCAGCAGCGAUGAGCGCCGUUUCAGUCGACGACAUCGUCUCAGCUAGCGGCGCGUCCAUGGCGGGAGCAGUAGCAGAUGGAACAGCCUCAAGGACAUGCACCGCAGCUUGCUCGGACCUCUUUUGGUCGUCCUCCUCCACAUGAAUCACCUCUGAAGGAAGCCUGACCGAACGACGUGAGACCACAGGAACAAGGGCAAGAUCAAAGACAGAAUUCGUGAAACAAUAAUGUAAGCUCUCGGAGUCGCCACGACGUACCUUGCUGGGAUGUGGCGACGUUGUCCGUAUCCAUGGGAUCGUCUUCCUGGCGUGGCAGAGAAGUGGCGGAGGUGGCAGCUCUGUCGAGUAAAAUUCACUCGACCAAUAAGCAUGAGUUCAAUCAAAUACUAGAAGAAGAUAGGAGAACAAUACACUCACGUUGAGGCAACGGGAACGGUGAUCCUCAUCCGCGGCAAAGCCUUCCGAGGUUUGGAUCCACUCGGUUUGGCCACCUUGGAAGGUUGGCCCGCAGGCUCAGCAGCAGCAUCCCUGGUCCUCUUUGUGCUCCGAGCACUCGGAGCCACGGGAGUAGUUGGCAGGGCGCUCGGAACCACGGGAGGAGCCGACGGGGCACUCGGGGCCGCUCGAGGAGCCGACGGAGUCACGGAAGCUGAUGGGGCACUCGGGGCCGCUGGAGGAGCCGACGAAGUCACGGGUUCGUGACGGCGCUUAGUUCGAGGCUCUGGUGGUGGGGGUGGCGAGCUCUGCUCCUCCUCCUCCUCCUCCUCUUCUUCGGACUCCUCCUCCGUCUCCCCGCUGUCUGAGACAUACUCGGCGCUCUCCAUGCUGCCUUCCUGGCUGCCUUCCUCUUCCUCAGCCGGAUUCCCGUUCGAGACGGGGGAAUACCAGUUGGUCCACGCCUGCACAAGAUACAGUCGACAACAUCAGACGUCAGACAGUGGUGCAAGAAAAAGCGGCAAAUCUAAGGGAAUUGUAAGCACUCGACAAGGUAUUCUCACCUCAUUCGGUGGAGGGUUGUCCGCGCGGAAGGGCUUCACUCGCCGGGCUCCUCUGGGGUUAUCGCAGGCGCCUGUGAUGCCGCGGACCCAUGCUGUCACAACCUCCCCAGUCAUGUAGUCGGGGUGAGUCCGAGUGGAGUCCUCAGGCCCCGUGUAGUGCCAGAUGGCGUGAUGUCGAGCUUGCAAAGGCUGGAUACGCCGACCCAUAAAAUCCUCCAGCAAAUCUAUGCCGGUGACUCCCUUGCGGACGACAUCUACCAGCGCGUCGACCAGAGGCUGAAUCUGGAUCUUUUCCAUCUUUGUAAGCGCAAGCUGCUUAGGUGGAGCCGGUCGGUCUAGGCUAAAAGGUGGCAGUCCAGUUGCGGCAUUCGGACAAGCGACGUCCUGGCAGUAGAACCAAGUCGACUGCCAGUUCCUAGCGGAUUCAAACAACUGAAGAGCGGGAUAGCUACUUUUGCCUUUCUUCUGGAAGCCUAAGCCUCCGCAAAGCUGGAGGAGAUGAGUUUUGUCGUCCGACUGGCUAAGUCUUUUGAUGGUUUGGGAUCUAGCGGAGAAGAUGUGCUUAAAGAGUCCCCAAUGAGGAGGACAACCGAUAAAGCACUCGCAAAGCACGACGAAGGCAGAGAGAUGAGCUAUUGCGUUGGGAGGAAAAUGGUGGAGCUGCGCCCCGAAGUGGUUCAUUAUACCUCUGAAGAAGGGAUGAGGAGGCAGAGAGAAGCCUCAGUACACGUGACUGAGCAGCAAGACGCGCUCCCCCUCCUGGGGCGCCGGCUCCGUCUCGCCCUCCGCCGGCAGCCUCCACGUCUUGUUCUCGAUCAGGCCUUGCUCCACCAGCUCCAACAUGUCGCUCUUCGUCACCGUGCAGGGGAGGAAAUCCCCCUGGAUCCAACCCGCUGACAGUGCCCGCUGUCGCCGUUGAGCGGGAGCCACCGUCUUCUUCUUCUUCUUCUUCCGCGCCUCGAGCUUGCUCGUCUGCCCCUUCGUCAUGGUGGAGGCUGCAGGUCCGCGGAAGAGGAGGAGAAGGAGGGAGCUUGGGGUGCGCAGGAAGCCACGGGAGAGGCGAGGUGAGUGUGAGUUAUCAGGCGAGUGCAACGAGAAACCCUCGCUGGAGAAGUUUAAAUAAGGUUCCGACUGGGUCACUAGCAGGUGGCCUCGAAAUCUUAUCCCCCGAGCGGUUUCUGCGAUAUUAGUGGAGGAGAUGAAGGCGCGGAAAUCGAGGCGACAGAUAAUACUCGAUGACGAUGUCGUCAUCCCCGCUGAGCGCGCGGGAACCGAAAUUUGAGGAUCCCUGAAAAUCCGCCGCUGUCAGUUGACCGGUCACGUCAAAAGAUUCCACGGAAGCACUCGGUCUCUGACGAUUCGUUUCACAGAUAUAUCCACUCGGAUCACUGGUCAAGAGGAUAAAAUGGAUCGAGGCAAACAACGCCAAAGUCGCAUCCAUACCAGUCGGAUCCGUACUCCAAGCAUCACUUCGUCGUUCCAACCCCGAUCCAUUCGGGGACUAAUGAUGGGGUUAUAGUCCUAGGGUAGGGUCAUAGGCCUGCCCUAUAGGUCGUACCCAAGGACUACCCUUCAUAAGGGACAAGGCCCUUAGUCAGUUCCGACUGAACUAAGGACUUCCCAUCAUCCAGUCGGUGACGAUUCCUCCAUCAUCCAAUCGGAGAUGAGCAUUCGGAGCGUAUCAAACUUACCGACUGGAUUCCACUCUGUACAUCGUAACCCCCCUGAAGGGCAACGGUCAUACGUUUUCAUGUACCUUUAUUAGCAUUUAAGGCAUACGUUAGCUGUAACGUAGACAUUUAAUCGCCACUACUCCACUCCUGUGCACCGAACCGUUGUGAAGGGCAGCGCACUCUAUAUAAGUCGCCCUUCCCCACUGGUGCAUGGGUUAGCAAUUCACUGUAAUCCAUAUUCCACUCGACAUCAAGCUCCCAAGAGCACUGAGACAUAGGGCUUUUACCUCCACCGUAGAGGGGCCUGAACUCAUACAACCUCGCCGUAGCUAAGGCUCUGCCCAUCCUUUCGUACCCCAUACAUCUACUGUUAGACUUAUACCCACGACACCAGUCGGAGCAGGAGGUGGCUGCCGCGUUCCCCGGCGCGCCCACGCAGAUGCGUGCCUGCCUGGCCACCGCGUCGCACUGGCGCGAACAGGGAUAAGCUCCCCGAGGCCUCCCCGAGCUCAUCCCUCCCCAUUCGCCUUGCUAUCUUCUCUCUCUCUCUCGGCCGCCAUGACCGAAGCUUGAGCUCGAGCUCGCCGUCGCUCCAGCCCCUCUCCCUCUCUCCUGAUCAGCGCAACAGCUUCGCCGUGAUCCCCUGAAGCUCUCCAGCUAGUCGCUCGAUGCCGAGGAGCUAUGCAACGCCGUGACGCCAUCGUCUUCCUCCUCGGGUCACCGGAGCUUCGCCGCCAUCAUUCUCCCUCCUCAGGCCAUCCCCGCGCCCACUCUCGAUGCCUCUGCACUCCCCGUGAGCUCAAGGUUCUUUCCCCUAAGUUUUCCCCCUCGAUCCCUUCCUCUAGACCCCGAUUCCACCGGAGCCCGACGAGAUCCGCUGCGGGACCUCGUUGCCGGUAGCUCUCCGAUGAACGGCUGGUCCAUCUGAGGCCACCAGUUGCUUCAGUGCGAUGCGUAGGUGCUCUAGGAGCUAAGCCCCGCUCGUUUUGCCUUUGGUUUCGUCAAUCCCGACAUAGCCCGAGCUUCGGCCGCCGCCAAGCUCGUCGCCGGUGUCAUCUUCGGCCAUCUUAGCCUCGGGUCUUUGCAGAAAUGGAACUGCGGCUGUGCGCUGGUUCGUUUGGUGCCCUCCGCCAUGCAUUUGAUCGUCGGAGAUGCAUUUCUGAGCUCCUCCGCCGUUCUGGUGGUCGCCGGAGGCUCACCGCCGGCGAGAUCGACCUCGCCGCCGGUGGAACUGACCCCCCCUGAGCCUAUGACAGGUGGGGCCAGCCCCUGGCUAAUUAAGUUUAGUAAAAAUAAAAAUAACUUAUUUAAUUAACUUAAACAGACACUGACAGGUGGGUCCUUCUAUUCCAAUUAACUAAUUAAGUUAAAUCUAAAUUAAAACUGGCCAGAGUCACUGACCAGUGGGUCCCACUCGUCAGGUUUGACUUUCAACAGCCAGUUGGACCUGCUGAUGUCAUGCUGAUGCAAUAAAAGCUUUUCUGUUUAAAAAUAAUUCCAGAAUAAGUUCAAAACGUUGGAAAUUCAUAGAAAUUUGAAUAUAACUCCAAAUUUGACAAAUAAUAUAUGUAAAUGGAUCAGAAAAAUCCAAGGAAUCCAAUGGUGAUAUUUUCAUGCAUGAAAAACAAAGUUAUGAAACAACAUCAGGUCAAAUCAAUUAAAAGAAUUGAUAAAUUAUAAUUCAAAUGAUAUUUGAAUUAUGAUUUCAAAUCAAGAUCACCCCAAAGGGUUCUGCUAGUCAUUUCAAACCAUGCUACAUUGCAUUUCAUGCAUCAUUUUGUUGCAUAUGUUUGAUAUUGAUUGAUUGUUGUUAUUCCGGUAGGCUGUGCCCCUCCGGAUACGUAGAAUUAUCCGACUGACGGAUAUCACCCCUCUGCUGAGCAACAAGGCAAGCAAGCAUUUUGAUCAUCCCGAUAAAUCCCAUGAUCUCGCUCCUGCUCUUACUUAUUGCAUUAGGUCAAAAUGCUUUCACUGCUUUUGUCACGUUAGUUGAACCCACUUCCUUUGCAUGACCUGUCCUUGUCACAGUAAAUAGCCGAACCUUGCAACCUAGCAUACCUGGUACAUGCUUGAGCCAUGAUGUGCCUUAUCCUGCUAUGCAUGCUAUGCUUAGAGUUGUGUAUGGUCUGUCAUCUCGGUGAUGAACAGGAUCGUGAGAAUGUGUUUAGUUGGUAAAGGUCGUGUGUUGAACCUGAUUUGGUAAAGGUACCGGUUAAAGGCUAUGUAGGAGUACAUGGCGGGUUGUUUCAUUGGAACUGUCCUUAGGAACUGAGUUCCGUGUAUGUAAUCCAAGUCUAGAUACUACCACACGUUGGUAUACUUAAUUGACCCUCUUGACUUAUUAAUCGCUUAGUACUCGUUCCAGGAGUUGCAAGUAGUUUCUGGUGUUUAUAGUCAUGCUGGAGGCCGUGCUAGUGCUGACCUUAGAGGUGGGCUAUGAUGCGGUAGGCAGUGGCACGGUGUACCAAGUGGCACCCAGAUGGUGGGCUUGGGAACCCUGCGCACAUUGUUUGGGGCCGUGGCGGAAACCUCUGCCGGACUUCCGUGCGGGUUACCCUCAGAUAGGUGUUAGACCUGGACUAAGUAUUAGCAUGGUUAACGGUUGUGGCCGACUCCUUCGCUGGGCUUGCGCUUGAAGGUUGCCGAGCUGCAUGACGUGCACAUGGAGAUAAGUGGCGAGAGCGUGCGUGAAGAAGUACCCCCUGCAGGGUUAUGAUCUAUUCAAAUAUCCGCGUCCACGGAUAUGGACUACUUGGAAACAUAUGUUGUUCAUAGACAACUAUAAUGGCUACUCAUAAAAUUGUCAAGAUAAGUGUGAGUGUCGUGGAUGGCAUUUCCGUAGGGUGAUGGAAUGAGUCCACGAUGGAGUAUUGUUGUGGUGUUAGUNUUAGUAGCACUCCUUACAGGGAAAUGCCCCUUUGUGAUUCCAUCGAGCCAUGGUAGUUCGCUACUGCUCCGGACACAUGGUUGACCGGCAUGUGUUCUUCUUAGCUGCUGUGUAUGUCCCUCUGGGAAAUGUCACGCGUAUGUAAUGGAGUCCUUGUAGCUUGCUACGACUCGUCUACAUUCGUUGAUGACCGACACCUGCUUUGCUGGGUCAUGUAUGUCUGCCCCUGUACGGAACUGCCACUUUAGUUUAUGACUAGACAUGUCGAUCUGGGUUCUUUGACAUUGGAUUGCUAGCAACACAAUUGCAUACACAAGUCAAAAGGCGCAAACGGUCCCGACUAAGGUAAGGCUGCAGCCGUGGGGAUAACCGUGCAUGAGACCGCAAAGAGAUGCGAUGUGUUACAGGCUGGAUUCCUAUGGCUUAGGAUCGGGGUCCCGACAGAAAGUCACACAAGGGGCCUAUGAGCCAACAGGGUGCGACCUAGGGGGUGGCACCAUGAUGGCUUGUGCCUCCUUUGUUGCCCUCCCGACUCCGUUCUUUGGCUUAUAAAUUCUUAUCUACCCUAAAACACCAGAGGGAGUCCCAAAACGCUUUUUAAGCCCCCAUAAGUCUUUGUUCCGACGGACCUGGAGCUCCGUUCUAGCACCUUGCCGGAGGGGGGAUCAAUCGCGGAGUUACUGUUCAUCAACCUUGCUUUCCCCACGAUGAUGUGUGAGUAGUUCACCAUAGACCUAUGAGUCGAUAGUCAGUACUUAGAUGGAAAUCUCUCUCUCUUUGAUAUUCAAUACAAUGAUCAUCGCAUCUUUGCUUUGAUCCAUAUGAUGUAAUUCCUUUUGUGCGGUGCAUUUGUCGGGAUCCGACGAAUUGUGGGUUUAUGUUCAGAUUAUUCAUGAUAAAUAUUGAGUCACGUCUGAAUACUUAUAUGAUUCUUAUGUGCAUGAUUAUGAUAGCUUCGUAAUUCUCUCUGAUCUAUUGAAAUAGUUUGGCCAACUAGAUCGAUAUUUCUUCGGUGAGAGAGGUGUGUUUUGGUAGGUUCAACCUGGCGAAUUUUUAUAUCCGAGUGAUAGAAGGGGACAAGAUGCGUCUUUGUGUUGCUGCUACUAAGGAUAAAACAAUGGGGUUUAUUAAUAUUGCUUGAGUUUACUUUGUCUACAUCAUGUCAUUGUUCUCCAUGCAUUACUCUGUUUGACUUACUCUAGAUGCACGCUGGAUGUCAGUCGAUGAGUGGAGUAAUAGCAAUAGGUGCACAUAGGAAUCGGCCUAUUUGUUUAUGGACGUGAUGCCUAUAUAUGCAUUAUCAUUGCCGUGAAUAUCCGCAUAACUAUCUACUUUUGUAUGAAUUUCCCAACAGUAAUUUGUUCACCCACCGUAUGCUAUUUUUCAUGAGAGAUGCCAUUAGGGAAAGCUAUGUCCCCUGGGUCUAUUCACAACAUAUUGAUAAAACCUUUAUUCCCUUUCUAUUAUUUACUUAUUUUUAUUUUAUAUUGCUAUCUACAAUUAUCUACACACCUCACUUGCGUGCAAAUAAAAAGACAAGAGGAUUGACAACCCUCUUUCCCGUGUUGGGUGGAAGUUGUUUGUUCUUUUGUGUGCAGCCAUGGAAGACGGUUGUGGUUGAUAUUCUAGUUAGUUCGAUAAACCUUGGUUUUAUAACUGAGGGAAAUACUUACCCACUUUGUACUGCGAUAACCUGGUCCUUUUGACGGAAAACCCAACGCAGAUCACGAGUAUCACUUCACGAUCCGAUUCCCUUCCAUCACCAGGGAAUUCACCUUGCAAACCAACACGAACAACAACCUAAACGGCGGGGUUGUGACCAAGAAUACACAUUUUCAAUUUAUGCUUCCAACUAGCAAAGUUUGUACCAUCAAAGUAUGGACCUCUGCGGUGGUAAUUUCCCUCACUAGACGCCAUACUCUCCUAGGUUGUCAAACCAAUGCAAUGGAGACCAAAGCUGUGAUGCAAGUUGUAGGAUUUGAAGUAUGUUUAGAGGGGGGGGGGUGGUUAGACUACUUGACCAAAUAAAAACUUAGCCUUUUCCCAAUUUUAGUUGUGGGCAAGUUUUAGAAAUUGUAGCAAGUUAAGGACACCCUAAACAUGCAGGUCUAAGAGUAUAGAAGCGGAAAGUAAAGAUAUGCACAUGCAAAUAAAGAGUAGGGAUAGGAAGAUCAAACACAAAG
rnacentral:lncRNA from 1 species